UUGGUGAGAAGAAGAGAAUUUGCCAAAAGAAGAAGCAGAGAGGAAUCCCUGAAGCAAGAAAAGGGCAGUGAGCACGUUGAAUAAGCAGACAACAAUGGUAGCAUGCUUGAAGCUUAGCCAUCUUAAUUUCCACCACUGCUGGACUUGAUGUGCUUUUUCCAUCAUCAACCCCUUCAAUUGACUCCCACAGGACCCUGUUUCUUUUGCCCCUUCAGCGUUUGUUUCUGUUUCCUUACUCCUUACAACCUUUUAACAAAAGGAAUACCUUGGAAGUUUUGGAAAAUUGCACAAGAACCCUGCUGAAAAUUCAUAGCCCAUUUCGAUCGUAUUUUUGGGAAAUUUUUGAAAAAAAAAAUUACUAUGGUAUUUUUGAGGAUGCCAUGUAUAUAAGAUAAGUAUAUAGGAUAAAAUGGUUAUUAAAUAUUGCAUCAAAAGAAUAUUCAUAAAUAUUGUAAAAAAAUUUCCAUAAAAAUUCAUAAUCCAAACAACACGAAUCUUCCUCCGAUUUCAUUUAAAGUGUUAUGUCUUGGAUAUUUUUUAAUAAUGGAGAAGGUUGGAUUCGAUUGGGUGGUAAAGUGGCAAAAAAAAUUACUGUUUUUUUUCUAUAUUUACCUUUAUUUUAUGUUAGACUCAAAUUUGAAUUUUGGAUUUUAGAAGGCAAAUUUGGAAGCAAAAGUACUAACUUUACAAUCUUUUUAAAAGAUCAGAAUCUAACAUUACAAUCGCUUCACUAUUCUUAAAAUAUUAGAAUCCUCAAAUAUGAAAAAUAAAUAAAUUUUUUUGAGAUGCUGGGAGUAAUCAAAUGUAAUUAUACAAAUGAGAUUCAAUUCUAACUUUACUCACCGAUUUAUAAACUAUUACCAUAAAUUAGUAGCCCUCGGCCACCUUUUUUUUUUUUUUUUUCCUUUGUCCCUUUUUGAAUUUGUGGAUUUUUGUAAUUAAAUUUCUACUAUAUAACUAUAGCACCAAAUGCAUCUUAUUCCACCCAAGACUAUCAGCCUCUUAUUUUUAAUUUGGUAAGACAACACAUAGUUUCUGGCAAUUUUUCACUUCGAACUUAGUCCCUCGUAUUACAGCGAAACCUUUUCAGAAGACCAGAACGAAAAAAAAAAAAAGAUAGUGGUUGAUAGCGGAUUGUCGCAAAGGAUGAAAGCAUGGGUGAGCCAAUUGGGUACAAGAGGAAGUGUUCAUUUAACGUAAGAGGAAGUUUUCAUUCCAAUCGAAAGGACAAGUUACUAGCAUAUGUAGAAUUUCUCAGGGGGUAGAUGAUGAGAUGAAGAGAAACCAGAACUACAGAUUUCAUUUCACUGUCAUCCAAGCAGCUUUUGCAAGCAAAUAACCAAUGAAACAGCAUUGAAUGCUGCCAGAACUUACUAGCAAUCUGAAAUCCAAAGAGUCAUCAACAUCUUUCAUUUAUAGGAAUAAACAAAAAAUUAAAAACCCACGGUACAGCCAUUACAGUAUCUGUAAAGACAUCCCAUGCAUCCAAUCUAAAAAGUCAUGCAAAAUAUUUAUCAGCCAGCACACCCUUUGGCAAGAUAUGCUAGUGCAAAAGGCCCCCUCUAAAGGCAGCAAAAUACCCCUUGCAGCAGUCAACCCCAACAGGAGAUCUGUUUAAUCAUAUUUCUUCAUAGUAUUCAUACCCUAUGCAAUAAUUUGCAGAUUCAAAAACAGCAAGCGACAGGAGUUAAGGAGAAGUCAACAUUCUCAACACAGUUCAGGAUAACAGCAAUGAAGAUGCUUGUGCCGGUCGGAACCCUGGUACACAAAACAAGUUACAGUACUGUUGCUUUUACAUGGUAAAAUUCCAUCUGCAAGCCAAAAAAGAAAGCAUCAGCAGACAGAAAUUAUGCCCAAACUUAUUUUUCAAUAACAUAUUUAUCUACUGUACGCUCGGUAACUAUUUAUCUCAUAUGUAGAGUGGAACGGCAUAAAUAUACAACCACAAAAUCCAACAAACACUAAAGGGCCCAUUUGGUAUUCAUAGUGAAAUUACUAAGAAAUAAAAAUCUUCAAUGAAGAGUAUCAUUUCAAGACAAAACUAACACCUGCGUGAUACGCAAGAAAAGCCAAGGGCAUCAAAAUUGCAAGAAAGAAACAGAGGUGCAAGAAAGUCAGUAGAGUAGAGAACCAUCAAAAUUGCAAAAUAAUCUAAUUACAGGUACAUUUAUUUGCACAGUAGAAAGUAUAAACAACUUGCAUUAGAAAGAACCCAUACUUUCCAUUGUCAUAAGCCAUGGUUAAACUAAUUAUAAGCAUUAGGACAAACCAUGUACUGUACUAACAGAAGAGCUCAACCAAGAGAGACCCAAAAAGUAAGAACAAUAACAUUGAGGAAGACCACUUCAGAAUUGAACAUUGAUCAGUCACACUGAAAAAGAAAAAUCAUCAUCUGCUCAUGAAGAACAAGCAGAAAUCAGACUCAUAAAUGUUCAUGAUGCAAAGCCUAGUUUUAAUCAUCAAAGUUAGGCUGACCAUUCAAUUGUCUAUCUGGGCAAUCACAUAUUUAGCAACACAAUGUUCUAUCAUAAUUGCAAGAACCAUCAAAGUUAGGCUGACCAUUCAAUUGUCUAUCUGGGCAAUCACAUAUUUAGCAACAUAGUGUUCUAUCAUAACUGCAAGAAUCUUAGCCAACAAAGCACUUUUUUUAGAAGAUCACAUUAUUUCCAAAGGUCAACUACAUAUGUAAAAGCAGCAUUAGUGAUAGUUACCCCGACUUUAAACAUUUAUUAUCCAGAGUUAAACUUGUGACCUUUUUGAGAACCCAAAGCCAACUGCCAAGUCACUGUUGCAACAAAACGUCAAGCCUCAAGUUCAAGCGAAAUUAGUGAUAAGGUAACCAAAUUUAAAGGGGAGAAAUUCAGGUUAACCUCAACACUUUCAGCAAAUCGGGAACUACUUCUUCCCUAGCAGUUCAGCUAGAUUAAAUAAAAACAUAUCAGAACUUAGCAAAUAAUGCAACUACAAUCAAAUAAACACUUUCGAUAGGCCUCAGGAAGUUAAUAUUUCAAGUAAAUGCAAACUUGAAGUGACAAAGUACAGUUUAGUUUAAUUCAAUACCAAAUUCUGCAGAAGAUCUUGCAGCCACUUUCUGUUUGUUUAAAUGACUUUGAUAAGCAUAUGUUGGUCUGCAUAUGCUUCAAGCAACAUGCAACACCGUCCACAACUUCAUGGAUCUUUAAAGAAUCUCCGUUAUUAGCUUUACCAAAGCCAAUAUGAGAUUCUUGAAAGCUCCACCAUAGAUCUUCUUUUCAUUUCUUAAGUAAAUAUUUUAUAAAAAAUUGAGAAGGGAAGGAACAAGAAGGAAGUGGCAAUGCUGAUGGAAAUCAAAUCCUGUUUUAAGAAAGGAACAAUGAUUUGAGGGUAACUAACUAUAGAGAUUCUUUAGAGGUUCCACAACUUGGGAAAAUUAGCCAUGUGAUGUAUCUUUUACUUAUUUAAGUUGCCAAUAUAUUUAGGGUGGUCAAUGCAAUACAACUGGACAACUUUUGGAAGAAAAAGGAAAAAGAAAAAGAAAAAGAAAAGAUCAACUAAGAACUACCAUUCCACAUUGUCAACGAGGACUUAUGAUACCUUUUUGUUUACACCCAGUUGUGCUUUCAUAUAUGCUAUACAUAUGCAGAAGAGUUGAAAUGAGCAAGUAGUUUUCUCCAUUCUUGUAUGGUCAUCCAAGGUUAGCGUAUGGAGAUCUCAUUACCACUCCAAAGAGGGUUGUGAUAAAGCAUCGGACAGGGGAUCUAAGGAGGGCUACAAUGACAUAAUCUAAAGUACACUGCAGUAAAGAAGUCAUUGACUCAAUUUGGACUUUUUGUUCUGAGAUCUGAAUGACUUUGUUCAUUUGGGCUUAUUUUCCACAGUAUGGAGUCAUUUCUGCUGCCGGUCUCUAUCUGGUUGGUUGGCCUUUGCCACACAGGCCACCUCACUCCCAUCAUAUGAUGAUAUACUAGAAAGAGAUCCUGCUCAGAAUUUCAACCUAAGUACAUGCAUGUUUAUCCAAGUAUAAGUUUUUGCAAAUGUUACUCUUGCCUUGCAAACUUUUGUAAUUUGCCCCACAGGUUCCAUAUGUUGCUAUCUUUCCCUAAAAAUCCACAUUCCGGCAUUACUUGUACUAGAGCAUGCUAAUUGUUCAGUACAAUUUUGAAUACCCUUAUUCGUGUUCCUAGACAAUCAACAAGUUUCAAUGUUUGAUUGCCUUGUCUUAGCAACCUUCUUUUUAUUUAGGCACUUUAAAGAAGAAUUAACAUCUCAGCCAUUUCUUCAUUCAACAUUUUAGGACGACAGAAAUAUGGCGAACACAAACUUCAAUAGCUUACAACACUAUACAAGAGGCAACACUACAGGGUUGCUGGUUUCCAUAACCAUAACCUUAAGAGUUUGCAUCAAAAUUGUCGAGCCUGUAUGAACUGGGGGGACUUUAGCACCAUCUUAUCCUACAACAGCAAUUACUGAAGUAUUAAAUUAUGCACAACUGACAAAUAGCAGUCAACCCCAACCGCAACACUCAAAUUUCUGAAAUAACUACAACUUACUAACCCAGAGUCAAAAAAUUGUAAUCAUUCCCCACAAAUAACAUAAAAGAAUUAAAAGCAAAUUAUAAACUGAAAUGUAACUUCUUCACAAACAAAAAGUUGUGUUGAGGUGCUUUCACUUGCUUUUGGAAGAAGCUGAUUCUGAGAAAUAGUUUUCAAGCUGCAAUCAUUGUUAGAGUUUAGCUUUUAAUAUUUUCAAACAAAAAACAAGCUUUCCAUAUUAAAUAGCUUGAUGAAAGUAUCUGUAAAGUAGCUAAACUAGAUGAGAAUAAGACCACAAUAUCAACUACAACAAGUAAAUUCCCUUUCCCACUCAACCGGAAAACCAAAAACCAGAAGAUGCAUCACAGAAACGCAUGGUAGCGAGAAAAGGGCCCCUGCAUAUGUAAAUUUAAUGCAGAAGUAUCCACAUUAGAUUUGUAAAGAAAUGACAAAUCAAAAGGUCAUAAGCAGUAUCUAGAGAUACAUUAAAGUUCUCCCAGAACAUUUAAGUACAAGAAGUCAUAGAAACUUUAGUAAGUGAAAAUAAGUCAUACAACCCAUAAUUCUUCAGAGUUCAGAGGAAACACAAAAACUACUACUGACAAAAAUGAGUGUACCUUAGUGCAUUAUGGCUUCAAAUGGUGGCCCCGCAUCCUAAAGAAACAGACACCGAAUCCAAUUACUUAUCGUACAUGGGAAGUUUUCCUGUCCACUCAUCAGCGAUCCCAUAAUCGAGGCUAAUUUCCCUUAAAGGAGGAAUGUUCUCCAUCGCAAACAACAUGAGGUGAGGGAAAGAGACAUUAUCAUGAUCAUAGAGUACUGGCUGUACCAAAGCAUUUGGAUUCGAGUUGUGGCUUAUGUAACAGGCUACGUUCCUCAGUCUUGAUACAUCCAUUGCAAAGUCCAGUGGAGGAAUUGAUGGAUAUUCUGGACGCUUAUAAUCAGGAAAUAUAUCAGUUAAGUCUCCCCACUCGGCCCACCUAUCAGGAAAGCGACUAGGAUAAACCAAGCUGUCUCCAUUCAUGGUGAAAAUCUGAGCUUGCUCGCGCGUAAGAACAAUUCCUGCGAAUUCACAAAUAAAUGCACCAGCCUGGAUCAAAUCCAACGAUCUAACUCCCCAGCCAGUCUUCCUGGACCUAAAAACUUCCAAUCUAUUCCUAACACCUCUCUGGCUCACCCGAUUCCGACAUGUUGCAGGACAACGACAAUCUGGCCCACAUUCAAAGAUUACUGGCUUUCCCUUCAACAAAAUCCCAUUUUCUUCAUAUGCAAAAUCGCCUCCAUUUUUCACAGCACAAAAGCAACCAUCAAAACAAUCACCCACACAAUCGCACCCUGUCCCAUUCUUGCCAUGCUUGUAUACAUGGAGCGGGAAGACAGUUGACAGAAGAUACUCAUAAAAGACAGGUGCAUUAUUAUUAUCCACGUCAUUAAACAGAAAAACAGGCACCUUCUCGUUCUUCAUUGACAAGUCAAGACUAACAUACCCUUUUGGCCUUGCCUCUAACGGCCUAGUCCUAAGAGUCUGCGCAAACCUGAGAAUAGAGCUACCCAUUUCCGGUUGAUUCUCAAUUCUAGCAAGCUUAUACUUAAAAACCCCAAACCCUGAUUUCCCCACAUCAAACCAACAAGUAACAACCCUAUAUAAACCAUCAUAAACAUAAACUUUACCACUAACACUGCCCUCAUAUUUAAAACCACGAAUUACCCUUACCUCAAUGCCAUAGUACAUGCUCCUCUCCAGUGCCAAAUUCCCACAUUCCAGCUUCUGAUUCGUACAUUGCCUGUUCUGCUUGUCCUGUCCACCAUGUCCAGUGUAAAUUAUCUCAUCUCCAGUGUCUACAUCAUCCUCGUAGCCUCCUGAAACAAUCACACUUGUUGCUAUAGGCUCUCCAUUUGAGCCCUGACUUGCUGACAGAUAAUCAAUGCCAGCCCGAGCCCGCCCAUGUAAUCCAAUUACACAUAAUUCCAUCCUGAAAAAAAACAAAUCCCCAAUCUCCACGCCAGGGAUUGUGCCCACAAUCCUUCUAUCACAAUUUAACCACAACCCACGUUGCUUCAACAAUGCAGCUGCUUUUAAGUCCCCUCUAGUCCUCCUAUGAGGAACCAAAUCCCCCCUAUGUUUUUCAUCCUCCGCGAUAGCCAAAACACGAAUCGCAUCAUAAAGCAUUCUCGUCCUUCUCACUAAAUUCCUAAAAUACUGCAAAUCAUCCACACUAAGAUCCGUCACGCGGACUAACUUCGCUGACCUCUGAGAAUAUUUCCUCCGCGAAACCACAGCGUUCAACAGCUGGUUCUCAUUCUCAGAAUUUAAAGGCAGAAUUGCUCUCGGGAUUUCAGAGUCCUCAAAUUCAGCAACCUCUCCAUUCCUUUCUUCUCCUUCAGCAAAAGCGUUGCCAAAAAGCCCUGUAAGACGAUAAAAUUCCGAAUAAACAUUCAACGAAUCAUUGAAGGAAGAAGGUACGGGUUCUUGGUUGUUGGCAGUAGCGCUAGGGGUAGCGGGUGUAAUGGGGAUGGUUGGAGAUGGGGUUAUGGUGAAAGUUGAGCUGGAAUUAAGGUUGCUUGGAGGGUUUACGUAAAAUGGCAAAGGCGUUUGAUAAUGGGCUACUGGGGGUUCAUCCAAAAGUUCAUCAAGAGGUUCAAGUGUGGGUUCUUUUCUGGGGAUAAUUAAAGGGUUUGGAAUGGAAGCAGAAAUUGAGGAAGAUGGUGCAAGAGGGUCUCGGAUGGAAGCAGAAAUUGAAGAAGACGGUCCAAGACGGAGAUCCAAGUCUUCAAUUGGGAUAAGAGAACCCAUGUUUUUUUCCUUUUCUUUUUUCACCUUUUUGCUAGUGGAAAAAUCAAGCAAAAGAUGAGUUUUUUUUUUUUGACAGCUUUUGGGUAGUGAGGUAGUUUGGUGAGAUGGGUUUUGUUAGCUCAUGAAAUUCAUGUAAAGAGAUUUUUAGGAAAUGGUGAUGGUGGGAGGUGGUAGGUUUUUGCAGAGGUGUAUGAGUUUGUUUUCGUCGAGGUGAGGAGUGAAAGAGCGAGUGAAGUGAGGAAAGGGGCUUUUUGCGAAAUGGGAAAGGGAUUAAAGGAUGGAGACAAAUAAUACAACCCCCAUAUAAAGCGACGGAAGAGUUUAAGCGAUAAAUUUAUUUCUCACAUCUUCUGGACACCAGUACUUAAAUAAAUUGUCACAACUGGCAAUACAAUAUGGUAAUAGAAGUCAAAGAAUUGGUACUCACUCUUUUGAUAAAAUCCAAAGGUAUCAUGGCACGGCGUACCUCCUCAGAUUCCUUCAUGUGCCUAAGUAAAACUGCAUUUUUAGGAUAGAGAAAUGUAUUACUGAAUAAGCAAGAUAGCAGUCCAUAAAAUGAGAUAAGUACCAAGAAAAUAACGAAAAUUUUCAAAGAGCAUCAACAUAAAUAACUAUUUCCAGACAAAGUAAUGCUACUAAACAAAAUAUGAGGAUAAGAUGUAUUCAUUUAUCCUAAAGUCUAAAACAGCUUCAAUCUUGGUUCAGAAAUGAUGAUUGGAUGCUACAUUACAAUUAUCUACAAGUUAUAUAAGCCACAUAGCUACAUCCAGCAAAGGGUUGUUUCCACCAAAAUUUCUUACCUAUUCUAUCAAUAUCCUCUCAAUGGAUUUUAUUCUUCCCAAUUCCUACAGGUGAUGGGCUAGAAACUGUUUUACCAGCUUUCAAAAGAUUCCCUCACCGACUCAAAAGCUGCUCCAAAAAGCAGAGCUACUCAAAUCUUAUUCCCUUAAAAAGAAAUGUUUUCUCACAAUUGAAGAGCUACGAUUAAUCAUGAAAACGCAAGACACCAUACUCACUAGUCAUUGGCAGCAAAUUCAUCAAAACAGUAGCGGACACAAAAACAAGCUGUAAAUCUGCAUCUUUUUAAAGCCCUUUUCCCAUUACCAACCACUCAAAAGAAGUUGAUAUUCUCUACCCAGUCCAUCAAUUGAUCAUAAUCCCAGAAAUUAUCACUUAACAAUCUUGAAAACCGCAGAUUAGCAUCAUAAACCCAAAUUAAGUAUACUGAAAUCUUAAUUCAAGAUUUAGCAAUCUUAUAUCAGACUUAUUCCGGAAGCCCACAAGUUGAAUUUAGGAAGAAACAGUAGAAUCCACCAAUAAAAUGAAAAUAUUGGAGAGAAAGAGGAACCUGAAUUGGGUUGGUGAGAAGAAGAGAACUGGCCAAAUGAAGAAGCAGAGAGGAAUCCCUGAAGCAAGAAAUGGGCAGUGAGCAAGUUGAAUAAGCAGACAACAAUUGUAGCAUGCUUGAAGCUUAGCCAUCUUAAUUUCCAUCAUCAACCCCUUCAAUUGACUCCCACAGGACUCUGUUUCUUUUGCCUCUUCACCGUUUGUUUCUGUUUCCCUGCUCCUCACAACCUUGCAACAAAAGGAAUGCGCUCGUACCUUGGAAGUUUUGGAAAAUUGCAUAAGAACCUUGCUGAAAAUUAAUACCCCGUUUGGAUUGUGCUUUCGGGAAAUUUUUCCAAAAAAAAUCUACACUACUUGUACUUUUAAGGAUGCAAUAUGUAUAUAAGAUAAGUAUACAGAUAAAAGGAUCAUUAAGUAUUCACGAAAAUUAUAGAAAUUUUUUCUAAAAAAUCACAAUCCAUUUAAAGCGAAUCUUCUUCCAUUUCAUUUAAAAUGUUAUGUCUUGGAUAUUUAUUAAAGCUAGGGAAGGAUUGGAUUCGAUUGGGUGAUAAAGUGGUAGGGAAAAAAAUACCCAAAUUUAAAUUUUGAAUUUUAGAAGGUAAAUUUGUAAGCAAAAGUACUAAUAUUACAAUCAAUCCACUAUUUUUAAAAAAUUCGAAUCUAACAUUGCAAUUGUUCCACUAUUCUUAAAAUGUUAGAAUACUAAAACGCCAAAAAAAAAAAUACAUUUUUUUUGAAACAAAGGGAGUAGUCAAGUGUAAUUGUAAAAAUGAUUUUCAAUUCUAGCUUUAGUUACCGACUUAUAAAACUAUUACUAUUGUUCCACCAUUUUUUCUUUUUCCUUUUUGAAAUUUGAGGAUUUGUAAUUAAAUUUCUAUUAUAAAACUAUAGCACCAAAUGCAUCCUAUGCCACCUAAAACUAGCAGCCUCUUAUUUUUAUUUUGGUAAGACAACACAUUUCUGGCAAUUUUUCACUUUGAACUUAGUCCCUCGUAUUACCUUUUCAGAAGACCAGAACAAAAAAAACCAAAAGAUAGUACUUUGGAUAAGAGUUUAUUUGAAUGAUUUAUUUGAAAUAUUUACUGUAGCACUUUUUGUGAUGUGAUGUAUGUGAGAUAAAAAGAUAAUUAGGAUUUGUGAGAAUAAAUUUUGCAAACCAAAUUAUCUUUGUCCAAACAAACUCACUGUAGUGAUUGAUAGCAAAGAAUGAAAGCAUGGGCGGGCCAAUUGAGGUACAAGAGGAAGUUUUCAUUCCAAUAAAAAGGACAGUAGCUGAAGAGAUGAAGAGAAACCAGAACUACAGAUUUCAUUUCACUGUCAUCCAAGCAGCUUUUGCAAGCAAAAAACCAAUGAAACAGCAUUGAAUGCUGCCAGAACUUACUAGCAAUCUGAAAUCCGAAGAGUCAUCAACAUCUUUCAUCUAUAGGAAUAAAAAAAUUAAAAACAGAACUCUGCAUUUACAAAUGUUACAAAAAUUUGCCCCCCUUGUUCUCUUUUUUUGAUCUUUCAAAGAUAAAAAGCACAUAAAAUGAACUACAACCCACGGUACAACCAUUACAGUAUCUGUACAGACAUCCCAUACAUACAAACUAAGACUAGGAAAUCAUAUAGUCAUGCAAAAUAUUUAUCAGCUAGUCAUCCCAUACACCCUUUGGCAAGACAUGCUAGUGCAAAAGGCCCCUUUAAAGGCAGCAAAAUACCCCUUGCAGCAGUCAACCCCAACAGGAGAUCUGUUUAAUCAUAUUUCUUUAUAGUAUUCAUACCCUAUCCAAUAAUUUGCAGAUUCAAAACAGCAAGCGACAGGAGUUAAGGAGAAGUCAACAUUCUCAAGACAGUUCAGGAUAACAGCAAUGAAGAUGCUUGUGCCGGUCAGAACCCUGGUACACAAAACAAGUUACAGUACUGUUGCUUUACAUGGUAAAAUUCCAUCUGCAAGCCAAAAAAGAAAGCAUCAGCAAACAGAAAUUAUGCCCAAACUUAUUUUCAAUAACAUAUUCAUCUACUGUACAUUCGGUAACUAUUUAUCUCAUAUGUAGAUUGGAACGACGUAAAUAUACAACCAUAAAAUCCAACAACCACUAAAGGGCCCAUUUGGUAUUCAUAGUGAAAUUACUAAGAAAUAAAAAUCUUCAAUGAAAAGUAUCAUUUCAAGACAAAACUAACACCUGCGUGAUACGCAAGAAAAGCCAAGUGCAUCAACAUCAAACCUCAAGAGGAUGGCAGAAAGAAACAGAGCUGAAAGAAAGCAACAGUAAAGCAGAGAACCAUCAAAAUUGCAAAAUAAUCUAAUUACAGGUACAUUUAUUUGCACAGUAGAAAGUAUAAACAACUUGCAAUAGAAAGCAGCCAUACUUGCCAUUGCCAUAAGCCAUUACCCAACCCAGAAAAAUGGCCAUGUACUAAUAAGUACAAAAGGACAAAAAAAGAAUCAGGAAAAGCACAAUGAAAAAAACUCAUCAGAUUGAUUCCUCAGAAAAUUAAGGGAAGACAGAUAUGCAGCAAAGGAGAAAUGCAUAUGACAUCAUUCAAAAGCUAUGCUGUUCUACAAGAAACAUGUUCAGCAAAACCUCUAGAAGUAUAAAUCGACCAUAUGCCAGGAAAAGGAUCACGUGAAAAAUAAACAUGAUAUAGAAUUAGCUUUAAUGCAUUUUUAAACACAACCAAGCUUGCAAGAGGGGAGUCUGACACUGCCACAUCAGAUUAGCUAAAUUGCAAGCCCAUCAAAACUUAGUUAAUCAUCAAUCUCAAACCAAUUGAUGCACUACAAGAGCAGGUAACUAAUUCUGACAGAGUUUCAUCCAAAAAUUCAAAAGAAGAUUUUUCGCAAAAUAAAAGGGAAUAAAUCCACUGAAGCAGGUAACUAAUUCUCACAAAGUUCCAUCCAGAAUAAUGUGCAAAAGUUUAAGAGAGAGAGAGAGAGAGAGAGAGAGAGAGAGAGAGAGAAGGAGAAGGACAAAUUCAAACACCUUCACAAAAGUCAGGUUCAACUAAUGAUAAGCAUUGGGACAAAUCAUUUACUAUACUAACAGAAGAGCUCAACCAAAAGAGACCCAAAAAGUAAGAACAAUAACUUGGAGGAAGACCACUUCAGAAUUGAACAUUGAUCAGUCACAAUGAAAAAAAAAAAUCAUCAUCUGCUCAUGAAGAGCAAGCAGAAAUCAGAUCUCAUAAAUGUUCAUGAUGUAAAGCCUAAUUUUAAUCAUCAAAGUUAGUCCAAGAAACUAUCCAUCAGGGUCAUAAACCACUAUACAUGCUAUUUCUACAUCAGAGCAAUGAUUGUAAACUUCUACUUUCAACAAUAAAGGAAAAAAAAAAUUAUACUUCACCAUAUUAAUGAUUUGACUCUGAAAAAACAAGACAACAGGUAAACAUACAAAUUGGUAAGAACAUUAACACAUCUUCUGACAAAUUGUUACAACCAAUAUACUCUAAAUGUCACAUCAAACAUAGAGCAUGUAGAAAAUUCAGAUAUAAGUUAUAUAUUACACCUAAGAAGCAUUUGAUUUGAUGAAAACAAGUAAAAAGACACUACUUCGAAUACUGUUUUCUACCUUUUUGCCAUCAUGUAACAAGUUCCUACAUGUUAUCAUGAACUAAAAAGCAAAAAAGUUAAGUCAUUUGAGAUUUCAUACACAUGACAGAAAAGUAUAGGCAACAUUUUGUUGCAAAAAGAACCAUGUAUCAACCCCAAACUGGGUAAAAUCUAAUUUUGUUAGCAUUCUGUACACCCAGGAAGAAAGUGCAAUUGGUCCCAACAUCAAAAGAUUGUCAUUCUCCACGACUUUAUCACAGGGAAACAUUUAAUAACACUUAAGAUUCUUCCAUGACAGAAAUUGUAAACACUGUCCUCGAAGAAAAAGAAACGCCUCAAUUAAUUUGGUUAACCAUCACACAAGUAAAUCAUGUGGUUAAGAUUAAGGGACUUUGGAUCUGUAUAAUUGCAAUUUCAAAUUAUCUCAUGCACUGAAAGACCAACUCACAGAACUUGUAGAAUUGAUACUAAAUUUUUUGCAUCUGUAUACAGUAACAAGCUGUAUUAUGAGUGAACUACAAGCCUUUUUUGAUUGGAUUUAUAUGAUCUGAAGAAAACAAAUGACUAGUAAGUGGAGUGGAGACUUUUAUAGACCAAAAUCUUUUGUCAAAGAUGCAUCGCUAAAAUUAAUUUCUUCUUAGAAUCACUGAAUAGUUGGAUGAAAUCAAUGAAGUUUAUCACAGGAAUUCUUGCCUGGACUUCCUUCACAGAUCCACCCGUAGACCUUGUGGCCACCCAAGUGCCUAAGUCACCAUUGUGACAUCAUAUGACAUCAGGCUGAUGUCAUACAUGUUAUAUAAAUGAUUUGGGCAAUUGGAUGGCCACAAGGUCCACAAGUGGGGCUGUGAACCAAGUACAACCAAGAAUUUUCUAUUCAGCUCAUUUCAAAAGUUAAUGUGCUAACAUCUGCAACUUUAAGCACAAAAAAGGUAUUUUGGUGUAUAUGCUCUAUUUCGACUUAUAUUCAACAGGUUUUUCCAUGGUGAAAUGGAUAAAUAAGGCAAAAAGUAUUAGAACACUAGUCUACUUCCAAAAGACCACUCAAUUGUCUAUUUGGACAAUCACAUAUUUAGCAACAUAGUGUUCUAUCAUAAUUGCAAGAAUCUUAGCCAAUAGAGGACGUUGUUUUAGAAGAUCACAUUACUUCCAAAGGUCAACUAGAUAUGUAAUAAGCAGCAUUAGUGAUAGUUCUCCCGAGUUUAAACAUUCUUAUCCAAAAUCAAACUUGUGACCUAUUUGAGAAUCCAAAGCCAGCUGCCAAGUCACUGUUGCAACAAAACGUCAAGCCUCAAGUUCAAGCGAAUUUAGUGACAAGGUAACAAAAUUUCAUUGGGAGAAAUUCGGAUUAAUCUAAACACCAUCAGCAAAUCAGGAACUACUUCUUCCUUAGCAGUUCAGCUAGAUUAAAUAAAAACAUAGCAGAACUUAGCAAAUAACGCAACUACAAUCAAAUAAACACUUUCAAUAGGCCCCAGGAAGUUAAUAUUUCAAGUAAAUGCAAAUUUGAAGUCACAAAAUAUAGUUUAUUUUAAUUUAAUACCAAACUCUGCAGAAGACCUUGCAGGCACUUUCUGUUUGUUUAAAUGACUUUGAUCAGCAUAUGUUGAUCUGCAUAUGCUUCAAGCAACAUGCUAGAUUGUCCACAACUUCAUGGAUCUUUAAAGAAUCUCCAGCAUUAGCUUUACCAAAGCUAGCUCCAGUAUUAGCUUCUCUAGAGCUAAUAUGAAAUUCUUGAAAGCUCCACAAUAGAUCUUCUUUUCUUUUCUUAAGUAAAUAUUUUAUAAAAAAAAAUUGAAAAGGAAAGGAACCAGUAGGAAGUAGCAAUGCUGAUGGAAAUCAAACCAUGUUUUAAGAAAGGAACAAUGAUUUGAGGGUAACUAACUCUAGAGUAGAGGUGGCAAAAUGGGCAGGAUUUGCGUGGGUUUGAAAUGGAAUCGAGUAAUAUGAGUCUAGACCCAACCUCACCCAUAUAUGUUUUGGGACCAAGUUGGGCGGAAUCAAUUUGGGAUGGGUAUAGAUUGAUCCCGCCCAAUGCCCAGGUCUAUUCCUGUAUUCUUUUUUCCUUUAAUUCUUUUUUAUUUUUUAUAUAACUUUAAUUUUUUUUAUUUAUUAAAUUUCUUUUAGUCUUAUUGUGAAUUUAUAUUUCUUAAAUUCUUUUUUCCCCAAAUUUUCUUGUAUUUAUUUUCUAUGUAUAUAUAUUGUUUUAAUCUUUCAUUUCCAAUGCUGCUAAAUUUUAGUUGAGGAAAAAAUAAGUCCUAUAAAAACUUAAAAGGACUUGUAUUUAUGAGUAUAACGAAAUGGUGUUUGGAACUAUGAGCCAUCAUAAAACUACCAAGACUGGACAAAGAAUUUUUUAAUAAGAUUAUAGAUUAAUGACUUCCAUAUUACUCCCAAUAUUCAUUUUGAUUAGUAUUCUACUAAAAAAGGAGUUCGAAACCAUUUACAGGCCUAAAAGAGCCCUAUUUGGGCUCUCUUCGGCCUGACUGCGUAACCAUUGAGUUCCCAUCUCAAAACAAGAAGUUUCUUUCAACAUUUUUUAAAGAGCACUCUAAAUUGAGACUGGCGACAAAAUUUUUAUGAAAAAGGGAAAAAACUUUAAAAAAAAAAAAGUGAUUUCUAAGAGACAAAAGAGCUGAGAAAACUAGAUGGGGGUUUUAAGCAUAAUAACAAGGAAAAAACUGAAGGACCUAGCUGGAAGAAUAAAAAUGGUUUACUUGAGUUGUUAAAAGAUAUAGAACAAUUGAUAGGAUAAAUUUUUGGUGAGAUCUUUGGGCCCCAAUGGGUACCUAAGUAUUUCCCAAGAAUUCCCAUCAAUUGAUGGAUAUAAAUGCGAUUAGUCCCAUUUUAAGCCCAAUUUCAAAAUUAGAACACCCAUCGUGCCCAAAGUCCCUUUGGGCAGGGGUAGCCCAUUGGGACUUGGGACAAAUUGCCAUCUCUACUCUAGAGAUUCUUUAGAGGUUCCACAACUUGGGAAAAUUAGCCAUGUGAUGUAUCUUUUACUUAUUUAAGUUGCCAAUAUAUUUUGCGUGGUCAAUGCAAUACCACUGCCCAACCCUUGUAAGAAAAAGAAAAAAGGAAAAAAAAAAAAGAAAAGAUCAACUACCAUUCUACAUUGUCAAUGAGGACUUCUGAUGUCUUUUUGUUUAUACCCAGUUGUGGUUUCAUAUAUGCUAUACAUAUGCUGAAGAGUUGAAAUGAGGAAGUGGUUUUCUCCAUUCUUGUAUGGUCAUCCAAGGUUAGCGUAUGGAGAUCUCAUUACCACUCCAAAGAGGGUUCAACUGUGAUAAAGCGUCAGACAGGGGAUCUGAGGAGGGCUAUUAUGACGUAAUCUAAAGUACACUACAGUAAAGCAGGAAUCCCUCAUUGACUCACUUUGGACUUUUUGUUUUGAGAUCUAACUGACUUUGUUGAUUUGGGCUUAUUUUCCAAAGUAUGGAGUCAUUUCUGCUGCAGGUCUCUAUCUGGUUGGUUAGCCUUGGCCACACAGGCCACCUCACUCCCAUCAUAUGAUGAUAUACUAGAAAGAGGUCUUGCUCAAAAUUUCAACCUAAGUACAUGGGUGUUUAUCCAAGUAAAAGUUUUUGCAAAUGUUAUUCAUGCCUUGCAAACUUUUGUAAUUUGCCCCAAAGGUUCCAUAUGUUGCUAUCGUUCAGUCUAAAUCCAAAUAAAUCAUUACUUGUAUUAGAGCUUGCUAAUUGGUCAGUACAAUUUUGAAUAGCCUUAUUUGUGUUCCUAGGAAAUCAACAAGUUUCAAUGAUUGAUUGCCUUGUCUUAGCAACCUUCUUUUUGUUUAGUCACUUUAAAGAAGAAUUAACAUCUCAGUCAUUCUCUUCAUUCAACAUUUUAGGACAGAAAUAUGGCAAGAACACAAACUUCAAUAGUUCACAACACUAUACAAGAGGCAACACUACAGAGUUGCUGGUUUCCAUAACCAUAUCCUUAAGAGUUUGCAUCAAAAUUGUCGAGCCUGUAUGAACUGGGAGGACUUUGGCACCUUCUUAUCCUACAACAGCAAUUGCUGAAGUAUUAAAGUAUGCGCAACUGACAUAUCUAAGUCUGACUAACCACAAUACUCAAAUUUCUGAAGUAACUACUACUUACUAACCCAGGGUCAAAAAAUUGUAAUCAUUCCCUAAAGGCAAAAAUAAAAUAAAAGUAUUAAAAACAAAUUAUAAACUCAACUGUAACUUCUUUUCAAACAAAAAGUUGUUUUGAGGUACUUUCACUUGCUUUUCAAAAGAGCUGAUUCUGAGAAAUAGGCUUCAAGCUGUUAUCAUUGUUAGAGUUUAGCUAUUAAUAGUUUCAAACAAAAAACAAGCUUUCCAUAAAAUAGCUGAACUAGAUGAGAAUAAGCCCACAAUAUCAACCACAACAAAUAAAUUUCCUUUCCCAGUCAACCGGAAAGCAAAAAACCAGAAGAUGCAUCAAAGAAAUGCAUGAUAGCGAGAAAAAGGCCCCCGCACACGUAAAUUCAAUUAUCCACAUUAGAUUUGUAAAGAAAUGACAAAACCAACAGGUCAUAAGCAGUAUCUAGAGAAACAUAAAAGUUCUCUCAGAACUUUAGAAGUACAAGAAGCCGUGGAAACUUUAGAAAGUGUCAAUAAGUCAUACAACCCAGAAAGAGUUCAGAAGAAACUCAAAAAAUACUACUGCAAAAAAUGAGUGUACCUUAGUGCAUUAUGUUUUCAAAUGGAGGCCCUGCAUCCAAAAGAAACAGACACCGAGUCCAAUUAUUUAUCGCAGAUGGGAAGUUUUCCUGUCCACUCAUCAGCGAUCCCAUAGUCAAGGCUAAUUUCCCUUAAAGGAGGAAUGUUCUCCAUCGCAAACAACAUGAGGUGAGGGAAAGAGACAUUAUUGUGAUCAUACAGAACUGGCUGUACCAAAGCAUUUGGAUUCGAGCUGUGGCUUAUGUAACAGGCUACGUUCCUCAGUCUUGAUACAUCCAUUGCAAAGUCCAAUGGCGGAAUUGACGGAUGUUCUGGACGCUUGUAAUCAGGAAAUAUAUCAGUUAAAUCACCCCACUCGGCCCACCUAUCAGGAAAGCGACUAGGAUAAACCAAGCUGUCUCCAUUCAUGGUGAAAAUCUGAGCUUGUUCGCGCGUAAGAACAACUCCUGUGAAUUCACAAAUAAAUGCACCAGCCUGGAUCAAAUCCAAUGAUCUAACUCCCCAACCAGUCUCCCUGGACCUAAAGACUUCCAAUCUAUUCCUUACACCUCUCUGGCUCACCCGAUUCCGACAAGUUGAAGGACAACGACAAUGUGGCCCACACUCAAAGAUUACCGGCUUUCCCUUCAACAAAAUCCCAUUUUGUUCGUAUGCAAAAUCGCCCCCAUUUUUUGCAGCACAAAAACAACCAUCCAAACAACCACCUAUGCAAUCGCAUCCUGUCCCGUUCUUGCCAUGGUUGUAUACAUGAGGUGGGAAGACAGUCGACAAAAGAUACUCAAAAAAGACAGGCUCGUUAUUAUUAUCCACAUCAUUAAACAGAAAAACAGGCACAUUCUCUUUCUUCAUUGACAAGUCAAGACUAACAUACCCUUUUGGCCUUGCCUCUAACGGCCUAGUCCUAAGAGUCUGCGCAAGCCUGAGAAUCGAGCUACCCAUUUCCGGUUGAUUCUCAAUUCUAACAAGCUUAUACUUAAAAACGCCAAAGCCGGAUUUCCCCACAUCAAACCAACAAGUAACAACUCUAUAUAAACCAUCAUAAACAUAAACUUUACCACUAACACUGCCCUCAUAUUUAAAACCACGAAUUACCCUUACCUCAAUGCCAUAGUACAUGCUCCUCUCCAGUGCCAAAUUCCCACAUUCCAGCUUCUGAUUCAUACAUUGCCUGUUGUGCUUGUCCUGUCCACCGUGUCCAGUGUAAAUUAUCUCAUCUCCAGUGUCUACGUCAUCCUCAUAGCCUCCUGAAACAAUCACACUUGUCGCUAUAGGUUCUCCAUUCGAGCUCUGACUUGCUGACAGAUAAUCAAUGCCAGCCUGAGCCUGCCCAUGUAAUCCAAUUACACAUAAUUCCAUCCUGAAAAAAAACAAAUCCCCAAUCUCCACACCAGGGAUUGCACCCACAAUCCUUUUAUCGCGAUUUAACCACAACCCACGUUGCCUCAACAAUGCAGCUGCUUUUAAGUCCCCUCUAGUCCUCCUAUGAGGAACCAAGUCCCCCCUAUGUUUUUCAUCCUCCGCGAUAGCCAAAACCCGAAUCGCAUCAUAAAGCAUUCUCGUCUUUCUCACUAAAUUCCUAAAAUACUGCACAUCAUCCGCACUAAGAUCCGUCACGCGGACUAACUCAGCCGACCUCUGAGAAUAUUUCCUCCGCGAUACCACAGCGUUCAACAGCUGGUUCUCAUUCUCAGAAUUGAAAGGCUGGUUCUCAUUCUCAGAAUUAAAAGGCACAAUCGCUCUCGAGAUAUCAGAGUCCUCAAAUUCAGCACCCUCUCCAUUCCUUUCUCCUCCUUCAGCAAAAGCGUUGCGGAAAAGCUCCGUGAGACGAUAAAAUUCCGAAUAAACAUUCGACGAAUCAUUGGAGGAAGAAGUUACGGGUUCUUGGUUGUUGGCAGUAGGGCUAGGGGUAGCGGGUGUAAUGGGGGUGGUCGGAGAUGGGGUUACGGUGAAAGUUGAGCUGGAAUUAAGGUUGUUCGAAGUGUUUAAGUAAAAUGGCAAAGGCGUUCGAUAAUGGGCUACUGGGGGUUCAUCCAAAAGGUCAUCAAGAGGUUCAAGUUUGGGUUCUUUCUUGGGGAUAAUUAAAGGGUUUCGAAUGGAAGCAGAAACAGAGGAAGACGGUGCAAGAGGGUCUCGAACGGAAGCAGAAAUUGAGGAAGAGGGUCCAAGAUGGAGAUUCAAGUCUUCAGCUGGGAUAAGAGAACCCAUUAUUUUUUUUUUCCUUUUCUUUUCUUUUUUUCACCUUUCUUUUUUCUUGAGGAAGAAUCAAGAAAAAGAUGGGAUCUUUUUGACAGCUUUUGGGUAGUGAGGUGGUUUGGUGAGAUGGGCUUUGCUAGCUCAUGAAAUUCAGGUGAAGAGAUUUUGAGGAAAUGGAGAUGGUGGCGGUUGGUAGGUUUUUGCAGAGGCGUAUUGAGUCUGUUUUCAUGGAGGUGAGGAGUGAAAGAGUGAGGAAAGGGGGCCUUUUUGCGAAAUGGUGAAGGGAUUAAAGGAUGGAGACAAGAGUUUUGGGUGUCAGAACAAAGCAUAUAGAUUAGGAGAUUAGCUGAUUAUUAGGAAUUAGAAAGUGAUGAAAGGGAGAGAUGGCAGAACACACUACCCUGACAGAAAUGCCCUUGUAUUGAGAAAAUAGGUUAUGAACACUGUCUGAUUAUGUGACGUACCACCAUAUUUAGUAGCCACAUAAGUACCAUGAUGCAAGGGGAUGUGAAAAAAGUGAUAAUUGGUGGUGUACAUUUCAUUUUCAUGUGAGUGAUGUAUAUGUUACUUGUUUUACAAGUGAAUUUGUAGAAUUAAUCUACCUAAGUAAGUAUUUAUUAUUUAUUGAAAUGAUGUGUUGUUUUGAGAAAGAUGCAAAGCAUACGUUGCGAAAAUAUAUUGACAUAUGAGCUGGAUUUUGAAAUAGAUAUAAAAAAAAAUUUUAAAAUUAACUAUGUGAUUGAAAGUUUUGAGAACGAGAUAUGACAUUUUAACAUUUUGUUAUAGUUUUUACUAAUAUUUUGCUAUGUAUUAAAGUAACACGUGACCCUUUAUUUAUAUUUUCCAAUCAUAUAAAGAUUACUAAUACAUUAUUAAGAUCAAUUUAUGUAAUACGAAAUUGAGACCGAGGUUGUUACAAUGUUUUAAAAUGACAAUUUUUUUAAAAAUAUUAACUUGCUUAAAUAUAAAAACACUCAAAAAAGUAUAAGUAAAUCUUAUAUAUACUGAUAGUAUAUACAUUAUUAUGAUUAGAUACAUGCAAUAUAUGCCAAAUUUAAUUUUAAAUUAGUUAUUAUACAUUUAAAUGACGAUAUAGUCACUGUCAAUACAUAAAAAAUUAAUAUGAAAAGUAUAUUCUAAAAAAUAUCUCACCAAUAGUAUUCCAUCACCUCCAUCACUCCAUUUUUCUUUCCCUCCCCGAGCCCCCACUCUCUCUUUCUCCUCUCUCUUCUCCGUAACCUUCUCACCCUUUCCUCUGUUCUUUUUUUUCAUACUACCACUCUCUUCUCCACCUUCUUCCAUGCUCCCUUCUUCUCCCAAGAUCUGGUCAUGACCAAACGAUCGAUAAUUCUUGAUUAUUAAGUGGCUUAAAUGACAAAAUGAAAUAGUAUACUAUCAUUAUUUUGUAUUCAAUUUUUACUUUUUAGUAGGUAGAAGUGUUUGGAUAUAAAUUUAUAUCUCGAAUAAUAUUUUGAUUGCACAUACCAUUUUAUAUUUUAAUCAUUUUUUAUUUCAUAUAUAUCAUAUCAUAAAAAAGUGUUCCGUAUUAUUUUCAAAUAAUGUUUACAAGCAAUCUCCUAUCCUAACACAAUCAGUGCUUUUAGGGUUAGUGAUGAGUUAUCGAAGGAAAAGGACUAAAUAUGGUAAAGGAUUAAAGUAUGGUGGUGACAUCGAGUUGAAGACUUUCUAUUGAACAUGUUAAAGCCCUAUGUGGAAUAAUACAUUAAGUAAUGGACAAUGCACUUAGGUAGUCAAACUAUGCUUAUAUACACUCAAAAAAAUAUGAGUAAAUCUUAUAUACAAUAAUAAUAUAUGGACUAUUAUCAUUAAAUGCAUGAAAUAUAUGCCAAUUUUGAAUUUUCAACUAGUUAUUACACAUUUAAAUGAUGGUGUAUUGUAUAUACUAUUAAUAUAUAGAAAAUUAAUCCAAAAAGUAUAGCCUAAAAAAUAUCACCAAUAUCGUUCCAUCACCAAUGCUAUUCCAUCCUUAUCCUUUCCCUCCCAUUCCUUCUCCUCUCUCUAUUCCAUCACCUUCUCACUCUUUCUUCUCUUUUUUCCCACUACCACUCCCUUCUCCACUCUCUCUCAUGCUCCAUUCCUCUCUCCAAAUCUGGUCAUGACCAAAUGAUGGAUACAAUCAUAUGAUAUUCUUGACUAUUAAGUGGUUCAAUUGAGAAAGUGAGAUAGCAUACUAUUAGGAUUUAUUUUGUAUUCACUUUUUACCUAUAAGUAGGUAGAAGUGUUUGGAUACAAAUUUAUUUCUGAAAUAAUAUUUUGAUUGCAUGAUAAACAUAUUUUUCACUUACCAUUUUUUUUUAUCUCACAUACAUUAUAUCAUAAAAAGUACUAUAGUAUUAUUUCAAAUAAUAUUUACAAAUAUUCUCCUAUCCUAACACAGCCAGUACUUUUCGAGUUGGUGAUGAGUCAUCGAAGCGAGAGGACUCGAUAUGGUAAAGGAUUAAAGGUUGUUGAGAUAUCAAGUUGAAGACUUUCUAUUAAAUUUGUUAUUAAAUUUGUUGAUGCCGUAUGUGGAAUAAUACAUUAAGUGAUGAAUGAAGGUGGAUAUUCUCUAAAAAGAUGCUCAAGAAAGAACAACGGCCACCCCAUCCCAUAGGACAUGGCCACAAAUAGAAACAUGCAUAAAAAAACACUCAAAUCAUGUCGUAUAAUCUAUAAUGGGUAAUGUAUGUUAUUGUGAACAUUACUUAAAAUUGAAAUCAUUUCGAUUGAGUACUAGUACAAUAAUCACUACCCCCUAUGAAUUUCAUUUUCUGUCGUUCACAUUUAAUCUUUUUUAUGGUCAAAGACCUUAGUCUAUGAAUUCAUUUCCCUAUAUUGACACGCUAAUUAUAAUUACCAUUUUCUAAAGAAAAAGUGACAUGGAGGCUAGCCACUAAUAAGACAAACUCUUAAAUUUUUGCUAACCAUUUUCUAAUUGUCAAGGUUCAACUUCACACCUCUAUAAUCUAUGAAUUUUUCCAACCAGAUCAUUGAUGAGAAAAUACACUUUUUCACAUAUAGAGCCUGUACAAUUCAUUUUAUGGGUUAAAUUUUUUUCAAACAAAUAAUAUUAUCAUAACAAUAAUUUUAAUGUCACAAUAAUAUCAGUGAAUUGUCAAAACUCCCAAAAAUAUGUCCAAAAUUGUCAUUGUAUUAUACUGCUGUGUUUGCGUAAGAGUAUAAAUUUGUCAUAUGAUAUAAUAAAAGUACAUAAAUUAUUGCUUUAAAUGGCAAGUCAGUAAUAAGCUCCUUGGAUUUUCUAAGCGGAUUCAAGGAUGUUUUGGUCACUUCAAGUAAAAAGAUGACGUCCUCAGCUUGGAUGUACGUCAAAGGACAAACUUGGCACAAUGACUUAAAAUCGAAAAAAUAGGAGGUUAAUUAAGCGGGUUAUCACCGGACACCUCAAAAAAAAAAAAAAAAAAAACUAAAUUUGUGGUCCUGUGGAGGAUGCAUUUUGUUGUCCUGUGCAUCUUUCAACCCUCCAAUUAGAUUUGAAUUUUUGAUCUUUCGCUCUAAAAUUUAAACAGGGAGGCAAGUUUAAAAGUCAAAACGCGAUUUGAUAUGGAAAGCUGGGACCUUCUGGUCGAACAAUUCUUAGCUGUAAAGAUCUUCGAAUUUACUGGAUUGCAUGAGCCAUCAAUUUUUUUUCUUCUUCUUGACAAGAUAUAAGGCCUUGCUUGGAUUGCUGUUUUCCGUAGAAAAAUUUUGUCAUUUUCCGUGAACACAUUUUCUUAUUACAUUUUUUCCUCACAUACAUCAAAUCGCUACAGUAAUUUUUCCAUGAAAAAUGACGGAAAAUACAAUCCAAACGGGACCUAAGUCUUUCUUUGCAAUACUCUUACUUUACAGUAUGGAAUGGAUUCAAAAGGACCAAUAAAAAUUUGAAAGGAGUUAAACUAUCAUCGAAUCAGAAUCAGACAAAUGCCCGGUGCAUUCUCUGGCAGUAAAAUUUUUCAGAAACAUCUAGGUAAGAGUGCAAGUUUAGAUGAAAAUGUAUUGCAUGAACCAUCAAUACUUGUGGUUGAAUUUACGUAUUUUUUUUAAAAUUGAUAUUUGUACCUUCUAAAGUUAGGACACUCCAAUUCGCAAAGUACAAAAGCAAGCUUUUACAACCGUACAUGUUGUAACUCUUUAGUGUAUAAGACAAAAUAAAAGUAUUUUUGUUUUGACGUUCAAUCGCAAGUACAAAAUAACAAAAACAUUAUUGUGCAAUCUCUGGAAAAGUGAUCCAGCAGCUUAUCAUAAGACAUGAAUUUUUGUCCAGAAACGGAAUUAAGUUGUGUUUGGAUUACAUUUUUCUAGAUUUUUUGUAAAAAAAAUUACUGUAGCGAUUUGAUACAUGUGAGAUAAAAAUAUGUUUACGGGAAACGUAGCAAUUUUUUCAAAUUAAUUCUGUUUCUGGACAAAAAUUCAUGUCAUGCGAUUUAUCUUUGAUUUUGCUUCUUUUUCCAGGGGAUGUAUGCACAUUACUUCCCUUCUCAUAGAGCUGACCCUUUAACCAACAUGAGACAGUGAAUGAAGAAUAUUUGGAAAAGGAAAUUAUAAUUUCGAAGAAUAACAUCCCUUUUUGCACAUUCUUAUUCUAAAAUCAUGUCAUAUGAUGGAUUUAUGGAUGGCAACAGUGCAGUUUUGGGACGAGUCUCUUGCUCCGUUGUCAAAUAACUCUUCUUCCCCGUCUCACCCCCACUUCCCCGUCCCCUUCCGCCCCACCCCUGUCCUGCUUUCCCCACAAGCGCCUGCUGGGGAAGGAAAACACCACCAAUCGUCCACGAUAUUCAGCUGAAGGCCCAUGGCCUUGUAUUCUGCAACGAGCAUCGAGUUGCGUUUUUUUUUUUUUUGGGAAGAUAACAACACAAGCUACAGAUCAGGUGCACUUUUGAACGCGGAGAACAGGUAUGCAUAUCCAAGUAUUCUCCAACAAGUCUGAAAUCUAUCAACUUCCAGUUUAAAAACCAUGUUCCUUCUUGGUGUACUCAAAACGAGUCAAUACGGAUGGAUAUCUGAACACGGAAACAAAUAGGCCCAUGGAAGACUAUACCGAGAGGUCACUACCUAAGUUGCUUUAGCAAAUACUCCCAUUUGGAUUGUUUUUUUUUUUUUUUCAUAGUAAAAUGUACCGUAUCGAUGUGAUAUAUACGAGUAAAAAAGUAAUUAAAAAAUAUGUUCAUGAUAAAUACAAAAAUUUUUUUAUUAGAAAACUACAAUCCAAACAUAGCAGCUUAUGUGUAAUAAAAAACAGUAGUGUGAUAGCAAUCCAUGAAUAGCAAGUGUGGUACAAUAAUCACAACUGCUACUACAGCUAGAUUAUUAGUUAUGUAUAACUAUUAGUUAUUUGGAUUAUAUACAUACAUACAUAUAUAUAUAUACACACGCACACACAUGUACAUAUAUAUAUAUAUAUAUGUGUGUGUAAUUUAAUUUAAUUUAAUUUAAUUUACAUGAGAGAUGGGGUUAGGGAUGGAGUGGAGUAUGCUCCCCCGCCUCCUACCCUAUUUAGCGAGGGGGGGAAGGGGGGGAGAGAAAAUUUCUCCGUAUUCCUACUCCUUGCCCCAUUUUUUCUUGCGGGCACCUGUUUCCAUUGUCAUUCGUAUAUAGGCUAAGAAUAUGUUGUACAUGGAUAAUUUUAUUGAUGGAACAGUAUUCAGUACUGUUAUAUCAUACCCACACACAGACACAACAUAUAGGUGGUAUGUGUUGGAUGCUAUCAGAUUGAAUAUGUUAUGGAAUAUAUGUUAUUGAGUUGGAUGCUAUUAGAUUAUGCGAAGCAGGCACCCUUUCUUGUUAGCAAGUGGACAAAUUUAAUGUUUUGUGUUUCUUGGUGAUUUUUUUUCUUUUAUUUCCAUUCAUUUUUCACUUGCUUAUCUAUAAUAAAAUUUAAUCAAUCUAUUAAUUUCUUACUUUAGAUAUUUCUUUACUAAUUCUGUUGUACUUUUUCUUUUUUAUCACCAACCCAUAGUUUUCCUUUUUUAAUUUUGUCCAAUCAUGUGUCUAUUCCUAAUGUUUAGCUUCAUUUUUUUUUAUUAUUGUUACCAAAGUUUGGACAGAUUUUUAAUUUUUUCAUACUUUCUUAUUUAUGUUAAACUCCAUUCAAUCUUGAUUUAUAAGUCAAUCAAUCCAUAGUUUUCCUUUAUAGCUCUCUCCAACCACGUUAUCUAUUCCUAUUAUUUGGUUUAAUUAUUGAUUAAUACUUCUAAAACAUUGACAGCUUUCACUCUUCAAUCAUUAUGUAUUCCCAUUUAAGUUGUACAAUUAACUAUUCCUUUUUCUAAAAUUUCUCCCAUGAACAUUAUGUUUUUUCCUAUUGGAAUCCAAUUUCUUUUCAACUUAUUAUAGGCCAAAGUUGUGUCCAUACAAGCACGGAUUUGAAAAAGUCCAAUAAAUUAAAAAUUGCCUCCAAAAUUAGUUUUUUUUUUCAAUUUGAAAUUAUUUGAGAAAAUAAUGAAUUCCUCUAUCCAUUAAUUUCUUUUUUUAAUUAUUUACUUGUCAAAGAAUCAAUUUUUAAGUGGAUUUGUGUAUUAUUUCCUUACAAAUAGCGAUACUGUACUUAUCUGUCUCUUAUUUUAUAAUCCAUUCUUACCAAAAUUUAGAUUGUUCACUCUCUAAUUUACAAAAUUGGAGCAACUCCAUAUAUUUUUCAUUACGAUUAGUCAAUUACAAAUCAAUUGCAUUCUAAUACAAUUCGUCCAUUCUCCAAUUUAAGAAAUUAAAGCAAAAAUAGAUUCUAUGUCAUUAUAAUUAGACAAUUUGAAAUUAAUUACUCAUUUUUUACAAUCACAUUCAUAUGGCGCUUAUUUGGAUAUCUUUUCAAUUAUUUUUCUUUGAUGGUUUUUUCUUAUUAAAUUCUUUUCUUUACCAUUUUUUAAGAUUAAUCAAAUAUUAAUAUAUUCCCUGACAUGUCAACAGCUCUCAUAAGAUAUUAUUUUCACCAUUGUUUAGAGUGAUCAAAAUCAAAACACGAAUUAAGAUUUAUUUGGAACUAAUUAUUAUUUUGUGCAUGAAUCAAUUAUUUUUAUUGUGUCUGGUUUCAACGUUGGUCUUAUAUUUAAUUCUUUUGUAUCAAUAUUUUACCAACAUUGUUCAGUUCUCUAUUUGGUAAAUUUCUGAGUUAGAAGGAUUUAAUAAUACCAAGUGGGCAUUCUUUCUUUUCCUUUCUUAGUUAAAAAGAAUCAAUAGUUAUUCUUCACUUACUUCCCUUGAUAACGAGUGGACAACUGGAUGUCCUUUCGUGCCACUACGUGACCAUUAUUAACGUCUAUGUCUUGGUUUCUUUCUUUUUUUUUUUGGUAAUAAUCGAAUCAUUGCUUUUUUACUUUCUUAUUUUUAGUUAGUGUUCCAGAUGCAUACAUUAUUUCCUUACUAUUUACACAUUAGUAUUAACUAUUAAGCAUGACUUUUUUUUUUUUUUAUAAUUUUAAUCUAUCAACCUAUCAUUUGACUUUUCUACAUUUUCUCCAAUCACAUGAUAAAUCAUUUUUUCUGCUUGUGAUAAGCAUUUGCAAUUCCUUGUAUCUUUCUAUUACUUUACUCCAAUGGCUUGAUUAUUAUUUAUCACUAGCUUUAGAAUUUUUACAUUUUUCUUUCAUUUAUAUUCCCGAUUUUUAUUAGGUUGUUUAUUAGUAAUGUUUUUCUCCUAUAUUUAUUAUCUUUUCUUCUCCUAUAUAUAUAUAUAAUUUGAUAGAUGACCAUACCAUAGCAAGAUGGUGCUCUUGCUUGCAGCUUUAGUUUAUCUUAAAUUGUGCAGAAGUUAUGUUACUUUAUCAUGCCUGCCACUGCCAAAUUGAUGUUCUCCCUUCCUCCACCCAAUUCAAUUAUGUGUUUUAGCUCGAAUCACAGCUGCAGGCCAUUUAUGUCCUCAAAUGGAUAGUUAACCAUUUUUCCGUUGCAUAUACAUAUUGGCUUGAGUCUCUUGUGGUCUAUUUACACAAGGGUUGCUAGUGUUUUCUGUUGAAAGCAUGGUCUCGCAGGAUGCUAAUGGCGCACCGGAGUGGCAACAAGCCAACAACUAUAAACUCUUUGGAUUAUGAUCAAGGAUACAGCCCGUAAGUGAUUACAGUAACCCUUUUCUUCAAUUCAGCUCCAUACUCGAAAAAACGAAUGCCUGCAAAUGUUAUUCUGUUUGACUAGGAUUUCACAAUCAUUUUCACUGCUGAAUUUGUAUAUUUAUACUCUAAAGAUGGCCUUGCUUGGAUUGAAGGUUUUCGUCGGAAAAUAUUAUCGUUUUCCGUGAUCACAUUUCCCUAUCACCUUUUUCCCUCACAUAUAUCAAAUCGCUACAGUAAUUUUUCCAUGAAAAAUGACGGAAAAUGCAAUCCAAACACAACCGAAUUAAACUGCUGAAAUUCUGAAAGUCUUUCUACGUGGGAAAGUGCAUAACGAACUAUCUAACAUGUCUCAUUUCUGUUUCAAGACUGAUUAAAGUUUGGUUUUUUUUCAAGUGCUAAUGGGUGAAGUAAUCAAGAAAAUGUUUGUCAAUGUUAUUAUUCACCAAGAUUGAAAGCACUUAUGCGGAGAUGCUGGUUUCACUUUCAUCCUAUUCUGCUGAAGUACCGUACUGGCAAGAACAGUAGCAACAGCGAAGUAACUAGGCAUGGACUUUUAAAAAAGGUCUCAUGUGGCAAGUGAUUGCAUUUUGUUUCUUUGUAUAGUGAGUGAACUACUUUAGGAAGAUUGACUAAGAGCCUAUUUAGAGUUUUUGUGAAGAAUUCUGUAACAAUUGAUAUAUAUGAGAUAAAAAAUAACAAGAAAUAUGUUGAUAAAAGAUGUAGAAUUUUUUUGAACAAUCUAAAUAAAGUCUUUAACUAUUUGACACAAAUUCUGACACUUACACAGAAGUGCUAACUAGCUCACUUUACUAAAGAAGAGUAGAAGAUCCAUCGCUACAGUUAUUUCUGGGGCACAAAAUUUCAAAAUCAUGUAAUUUAAGAUUGUUGUUUGAAAUUUGCAUACAUUUUUUGUACUUGGGCAAAAGCUGUACAGUGAACCCUAGAUCUUUGCCCCUUCUCUUCCGAUUUCUGUCAUUUGGGUUGCUGCUGAAGGUGUUUGUUUUCAGGCUGUAGCUUGAGCUCAAAAACCAACCACUGCCCUUUUCUUCUUUGAAGCUGAAACAUCCAAUUACAGAGCCAAACUUCCUCUGAUGGAAGGCAAUGAAAAGAUGGCCAUAGGCCAACAAAUCCCUUCCUCUUCAGUGCAAGUUUCAGACCACCCGCUAAUACUGCCGGAUCUUCCCUUUCAAGUCAUCACUGAGAUUCUCGCAAGGCUACCUGUGAAGUCACUCAUGAGAUUCAAGUGCGUUUCAAAAUCGUGGCUUUCCUUGACGUUAAGCCCUCAUUUCAUCAAGCGUCACCUCAGUUUCAGUACAUCAAAGGACAGAGAAUACUUGCUAUUUAUAGACUAUAAUUCUGGCAGGUUCAAACACUGUUCUCUUGCUUCUUUGUUGUAUGAACAGCCUAGUGAUGCAGUUGAAAUAGUUUGUCCCCAAUUGGAAUGCCGUGAUCUGUCAGUUUUGUUAGUGGGAUGUUGUAAUGGGAUGAUUUGCAUUUGCACUAAUAGAGAAGGUUUCGUCUUAUGGAACCCAUCUACCAGAAAAUCAAAGACAUUGCCUAAUUUUAGUUUUGAAAAAACGAGUGAGCAUAAAUUCUAUGCUUCAUGUGGUUUUGGAUACGACGAGACUAACGAUGAUUAUAAAGUAGUGGCAGUUACCUGCUACUGUGCUGAAGAUUGGGAGCCCUUUGCUUCUGAGGUUAAAGUUUAUAGUACAAAAGCUGAUACUUGGAGGAGAAUUGGGGAUUUUCCUGGUGGUUAUCCAAUGGACGGAAGCAGGUACUGUGGUACUUUUGCGGCGGGGAAGGUCCAUUGGGUAUUGAACAGAGCAUUUUGUCCAUAUGUUGUUUUUCUUGAUUUAGCUACAGAGACAUAUGGAUCUCUUGAUUUAGCUGGAGAUGCGAUCAAAUCGAAUCAUGACAGUUUUGUAACAGACAUACAAACUGUUGGUGGGAGCCUUUAUUUCUUUUGCAGGAAUUAUGUGCAUGGUCUUGUAGAUCUCUGGGUUUUGAAGGAAUAUGAAGUUAUAGAAUCUUGGACAAAGGUGGUUUCUGCCUUGAGCAACGACAAGAGGUAUUUUCUUUCAGUAUUGUACCAAUUGGAGAAUGGUAAACUUCUAGUGGUGCUUGAAAGUGAUGUCAGAGUCUUGAAUCCCAAAAAUAACAAAUCCAGGCGUCUCCUGAGGUCUGUCUACACUAGGUCUGCGAGUAUUUAUGUUGAAAGCCUAGUUUCGCCCGGUUCAGUUGAUGCAACAACUAUGAUGAGUGGACUACAGUUGAGGACACUUAAAGUAAGUAAUUACAGUUUUUUUUUCUAAUUCAGCUUGUACUUGAAAAAAGAAAACUUGUACGUGUAAUGUGAAACUGCUGAGAAUUCCUUAGUAUUUUCACUAGCAUUUUUAUUUUUGUUGCAGUUUUCAAUUCCCAAUAAGUGAAAUAGUUUAGAAUUGAAUGUGAAUAUUCUUGCUUACCACUUAAAUUAUGAAAGUCUUGCAUAUCAGAAAAUUGAAGAUUUUGAUUUUCUUGAUAGUAGGGCGCCAUUAAGCUUCUGAAGUGGCAGAUUAUUUUGGAAGUUGUGCGGCAUUUGAGUAACUUAAAGAUUUUGAUGUUUGUCCUUUCAAAUUUCGAUUUCUAACUGAUAUACACAUAUAGAUUAACUGUAACAUUACAGAUGAUUUGGAGGUAGUAUUGUCCAGAAUUCAUAGUUUACCGCAAUCAUGUUUGCAUUAUCAAUAUUUCUUGCUUUCUCUUGCUUUUUUUUUUCUUUAACUGUUUCUGUUAAUACCUCAAGGUUUCUCUUUAUGAUUCAUGUUUAAGUUAAGCUCAUGUAAAGCUAUUCCUCAAAUCUGCAAAUUUUCUCUACUUGGAUCUAAUGCAGUCUUACAUCUCUAUUCCGUAAGUGCUAGUUUGAGACCUUAAAUAAGUUGCAGUAUCCAUUCAACCAAGUUUGAGGUGAGAAACAAAUGAUAUAGCCUGCAAAGCUCUAAAGCGACACAUAGAAAUCAGUUUCAAACGUAGAGGAGAAAACACACUUUAUACUGUGUUGUCUGUUAGCACGCAUGAUAAAUUUCCAGAAAUUGUUGCAAGCACUUUAAUUUUCUAUAUCUAAAUCACAUAGAGAAUCACUAUUAUUUUUCCCUGAUCCUUAAUUUGAUGCUUUAGCUUUGUUGGUCUGUUACAGCUUUCAACUUAUGUUUCAUAAAUUCUGUGUCUUUCAAUUUUGAAUUUCUUCUUUUUUUUUUCUUUUCCUUUUUUUUGGUCGGUUGGUUGGAAUUACUAAAGCAAACCAUUGGUUUUCUAGACAGAUUCAUUCCCUUAUUUGGUCACUUGUUGGAUAGGCGUUGAUGUAACAUGGAAUUAUACUCCAUGCUUGGUAGCAGAAUCAUUUAAGGACUUAGAUUAGCUUUGUCCCAUCGAAAGGGCUAAGUGGGGCAUGUUUAUGUGAGCAAAUUAGUCAGAAGAGUUGAGUUAAAGUUUAGUUUUGCUGCUCCCUUUCUUUGAGUUCAUUUUAUGACCUCCUUAAAAAAGAGUGCUCUUAAUGGUGCUUGUUGUGAGUCAUCGGCGUUUAAACAUCAUAGAGAAAGAAAUUACUGUUGAAAUGGCCUACUCAUAGAUAUAAAAUGGCAGUUUGCCCCCCUAGUUUACAUUUGUUCCAAUACCUAGGACUGUUAAAGUAAAAGGUGUUUUCCAGUUCUUGGCUUUGCAAAACGGAAUUGGUGUUUCUAGCUCCUAGGGAAAUGCUUAACUCAGCUACAGUUAUUAGAAGUUUAUUACUUUCUUGGCUUUUGCAUUUCCACGUCCAGCAACUUCUUACUAAAUGCUUGCAUACGUAGUAAUCUUAGACCUGACGCAUAUCGCUGAAUCAGCUUUGGGAAUCUCUUUCCUGUAUGCAUAGCAUUCAUCACAGAAAAAGAAUGUCAAUAUUUCCUCCUUGACUAUCAAUCUGAUUCUCAGGAAAUUGUGAAUUAUAUGUGCAGGCCUCAACAAGCAGGACACAAGACUAAGAAUCUGAUCAUGGACUAUCAGGGCUUGAACUGUCGCCUGAAAUUUAAGCAUGGAGAAUGUAAUUGGGUAGCUGAUGUUUUGUCAUAGCAUGCUCUUGGUAGGUUGAUCCUUUGAUGAAGUUUGUGUCACUUUUGCAUGCCCACCUGCUUAUCUUUUGCCUAAUUUGCUUAAUGAUGUAUCAGACUUAAAACACCUACAACAGUGUAUUGUACAAGUUGUGUUUGAGUAAUGAACUCCUUGUUUGGUAGUAGUAUCGUCGUUACUGUAUUGGUUUAUCUCAACUUUUCUAGUUAUUCCGAUGUGGUCUUUUUCCUUUUGAUUCUUCUCUCUCACCAUUGCUCCUUGCAGCUGAUACCAUCAAGACUUUUCCUACCUUUUCCACGGCUAUACACUGCGUAUCAUGUAUGUUUUAGACUUUUGAGUCAAAAGAGUGGCACUGAAUUGUUUUCUCAGUUCUUGAAUGUUGAAAGUUGAAAAAACCAGUUCAAUCCUGCAGCAUCCUCUCUUCAGUGUUCUUAUUUUCCCUCAUCUCCAUCAAUUAUCUAAUAUUUCAUAGAUUCGAUAACAGAUCAACGUAAGGCUGGAUGAUUACAUUCUUAAUCUUCGAAAUCAUGCUGCAAUAACUUUAUCUUUCUAAGUAUAUAGAGACUGCAUGUGCAGUAAUGUUUCUGCUACUUUCAAGAAAGGACAUUUUGAGCACUAGACAAAAAUUUCUUCUUCAAACUGUUUCUGAAUAUCCCGUGAAUGUUACCUUCUAUGUACCCACCUAGGAUGGUAUCACAUGUUGCAGUUGCUUUUGUAUUGGUGCGAUGAAGUAUCUGUGGUAUGAGAUGGUAUCCCAUGCGGUGAUGAGCCACGUUUUAAGUACUUUAAUUAUAUAUUGAUUUCAGAUUUGAUUCGUAUUAGUAUUACAAACAAAUUCUUGAAUGACCAGUAAGGUUGAAAUGGCCUCGUUAAUUCCACAAGCCUCGCUAAUUUUGCCAGUCGAAAAUGGAUGGAUGAUGCGUAUGGAAUAAUAUUCAUCAGCGUUUAAUGCAAAAAAAAAAAAAAGUUUCUUUGUAUAUUUAUGACUUGUCUUUGCGUACGGAAUAAUAAUGUGGUUGAAAAUAUAAAAUGGUGAAUUGAGAAAUGUAUUUAUGAUACAAGUGAAAUAUUUAUUUGGAUUAAUCUUUCCUACACUGACAGUGUAUACACUAUCAGCGUUGGAUGAUUGACAACUAUGCAAAAUUUGAAUUUGAAAUUCAACUUUUACACAUAUGUUAUGAAUACAACGAUGAUAGUGUAUAUACCGUCAGUGUAGAAAAGAUUUAUUCAUAUUAUUUAGGAUAAUUCAGCAACUCAAACGCACUCAAUAUCAAUUAAUAUUUUGUACCAAUGAGGCCGUUUGAAUUGUUAUAUUUUGAAAUUUUUACAGAAAAAUAUACUGUAGCGAUUUGUGAAGUAAAAAGAUGAUUAGAAAAUGCGUUUAUAGAAAAUAUACAAAUUUUUGGGAGAAAAAUUACUUUCCAAACAAGGCCACGUUUCUAUCAGAUCCUGUGUCUAACCAUCACGCUUCAUAAGAUUUAGUUAUGUCAUGGUUUUUUUUAACUAUGAAAGUCAGAUUGACGUUAUCAUAAUCAAAGUUACACGUCGUAGAAUUGUUCAACAUAAAGAGUCUCCCCUUGUAUGAAGAUUGAGUCUUUAGUUUGACGUGUUCAAUACUUCAACAUAAAGAGCCAGCUCAAGUGCAGGACUCUGACGAAUUCCAGUUAUAGUUUUCAACGCGGUGUAUACUGAUGAUACAAACAAUAAUAUAAGCUGAAUUUAGUUUCUGUAGAUGAAUGCAACGAGUAAAUUUAUAAGUUCUUCCUUCCUUUGCAGCAGCACAAACCUCCAGAUGGAAAGCAAAGGAAAUGGAGCCACCAAUCCCCACCAAUCCGAAGAUUCAAACCAACCCUUAAUAUUGCCUGACCUCCCCUUUGAAGUAAUCACUGAGAUCCUCCUAAGGCUACCAGUCAAAUCCCUUUUGAAAUUCAAAUGCGUUUCGAAAUCGUGGCUGUCCCUAAUCUCAAGCUCUCAAUUCAUCAAAGAUCACCUCUGUGCUUUCAGCUCAUCAGAGGAUGGAGAACAACUACAGCUGCUCACUGUGGGAAUUGAUCUCACAGAUUGUUAUCUCAAAGAUUGCUCUCUUGCCUCUUUGUUGCAUGAACGGCAGCCUGCAAAUGCAGCUGAGGUUGAAAUUGAUUGUCCACCUAGUCUUCAACUGAGUAGGUACUUUAACGUUGUGGGAUGCUGUGAUGGGCUAUUUUGCAUUGAUUGCAUGAGAACAGGUGUGUUCUUGUGGAACCCAUCUACUAGAAAAUCCAAGAAAUUGCCCAGUUUUAGUAGCCCAACAGUGGACCUACUGAAGGAGGAAGAUUACUACCAAGUAUGUGGUUUCGGAUAUGAUAAGGAUCGUGAUGAUUAUAAAGUGGUGAAAGUUGUCUGCUCCUUAGAUGAAGACUAUCGUCCCUCAGGGUCUGAAGUUAUAGUUUAUAGCGUAAAGACUGAAUCCUGGAAGAGCAUUGGGGAGUUUCAAGGUGGUUUCCCUAGUGUGGGGGGCUGCGGCUGUCUCGUCAAUGGGAGGCUCCACUGGGAAUUGCAUAAUGCAGGCUGGGAUUUCAAGGUUGUUUUUCUUGAUUUAGCAACAGAGACGUUCGGUUCUCUUGACUUGGCACUAAAAACAAAUGGAGGGACAGGGAUAUCAGGCCGUAAUGGUUUUCGAUCUGAUUUGGGAACUUUUGGAGGGAGUCUUUGUUUCGUUUGUAAGAAUUAUAGGGAUCAUUUUGUAGAGUUGUGGGUUAUGAAGGAAUAUGGGGUUGGAGAAUCUUGGACUAAGGUCCUUAGUGUCCCGGUUGACAAGACAAGACUUGUGUUUAGAGCACUGUGCAUUCCAGGCAGUGAUAGAUUUUUGGUGGAGCUUAAAGAUGAACUCAGACUCUAUGAUCCAAAAGAUGACUCCUUCAGGCUUCUCCCAUGGUCUGGUAAUCAUACUGUUCCUAGAAUUUUUGUCCAAAGCCUGGUUUCACCCAACCCAAAUGCAGCUGCAGAGAUGCAUCAACAACACUAGUAGCCAGGAAACUUAAUUACAAGGGAUUGCUAAUAUUCAAUUUUAUCAAUAUUUGGGUUUUUUUUUAAUACAUUUUUUCAAGUUCCUAUGCUUGAUACAGUUGAGAAACUCUUUCUGAAGUAUUCUUGCUUACAAUCCCUUAAAUGAUGAGAAGAGACUUCAGUGGAAUAUGUAAUGAAGAUGAUGUUACUGGCUGUUUUCUUAUCCUUAAACUCAUUAAUUAGUCCAACAUGGAUAAUAAAUUUUUCUUGCUUAGUGUUUAAUUUAAGUGCAGGGUAUAUCCUGGUGCCAAGUUUACAUGUAAGGGUAUUGACCUCCAUGCUAUCGUCUACAUCUUGAUUCAAUAAAGAAAGAAAGAAAGCAUCUUUGGAUAGAGGAUUAUUUGAAUAGUAUUUUCUUAAAAUAAUAUUAUACCACGUUCUAUAAUAUGAUAUGCACGUAACAUUAAAUGAAAAUUGUGAAAAUAAAAAGAUUAUUAAAAAAUUUGUUCAUUGUACAAAUAAAUAAUUCUUUACAAAUAAUGAACAAACCAAAUGAAAUAAUAACACGCAUGAAAACCCUGAAAGAAUGAGGGAAAAAAAAAGAAGAAAAGGACUUACACAGAAAUAAAUAGGAUGAUUAGGAGGGAGUAAGUUUCGCGGCUAAUUUAAUCCCUAAGGUAUCCAGUUGGCUGUUAAAAUAUUUGAGUUGACGAAAAUGCCAUUGAUUUUAACCAAUUACACAUUUGAGUUGAUGAAAAUGUAUUUAGGCGCUCGGCUACAUCUUUUCGUUAUAUUUUAUAAGUAAAUUUUAUAUACGAUGACAGUGUAUACACUAUUAUAAUUAAAUUCAUAAUAUGUGUGUAAUAGUUAAAUUUUAAAUUUAAAUUUUGUACAGAUAUCAUUUAUUCAAUACUGACUGUACGUACAUUAUUAUGAGUGAAUACAGGAAAGAUUAAUCUAUAUUUUAUAUACUUUUAGGACAUGACAUCUGCAAAGAUUAUCAGCAUGAUGAUGAGUUAAUAAAGUUCGGUCUGCUUAGGCAUCAUUAUGUGGACCAAUCCAAUACGUUGUUUAACACUUUAGCGGACAGUCGAGACGAAUUGUCAAUCCAAUACGUCUUUCACCCUCUCCAGAACAAUCCACGGCCCUCUAGCCCGCGGUUUUGCAUCAUCCAUUGGCCCAGUUUUCAAACUUAUCGCCGGAAUGUUUUAGAAAGAAAAAAUUCUUCAAUGCAUCACUUAUAUUUAGUCAAAUAAAUUUUAUCGUCCGUCACUUUUAAAAUAUAUAAUUUUAUGUUUUUUAUAAAAUUAAAGUGGUAAAAUUGAUUCAUAACUUAUGUUUUCAACCAUUUUUCAUCUUGAAUCUCUCAUAUAGACAUUUCUUGGAGGUAUAAAGGUUAGAUCUCUAUUGUAGUUAAAUAAAUGAUUCGAUUCAUAUUAAUUUUUAUUCUUGAAAAAUUAAAACUUGAGCCGAACAUAUUCAUUUUUUCUCCGAAAAAAGUGAAAUGUAAUCUAAUCUGUAUUCGUUUUUACUAUUAAAAAAAAGUUGAAUAUGACCUUUUUGUACUUAAAAAAAUGAUUACAUAUAAAAAAGUAGUUUAAAAUUUAGGUUAUGAUCAAAUUUUGCUAACUUAGAUUUGUAUAGUACGUAAAGUUAUCAUUUUAAAAGUGAAGAACAAAAAACUUUAUUUCAUGAAAUGUGAGUAAUAUUUUGAAGGAUUUUCCCUUUUACAAAUUUUCCCUUUUGGUUUAUUAAAAGAAAAAAACCUUUCUUUCAGGAUGAAGAUGAUUAUUGAAGGCAAAGGGGGAGAAAGGACCCUUUAGGUGACGAAUGCUUAGUGGAUAAAAUACAAGUCUCAAUCAAAUGCCAAAGUGCUCAUUCUGUUCACUUUUGACAUCAAAGUUGAUGUAUAUCACUUAGUUUCAAGACAUCAUCACUAGCCAUGCAACUGCUCCUUUAAUCUUUUUUAACCAUAGUGGUAAUAUGGCCCAUAUGGCUCUACGUUUUUAGUUGGUUCUGUUUGACGUUAGACUCAAAUGAACCUUAGACUAGUUCAACUUAGGAAAGAACCAAAUGGAUCCAGAUAUGGUUUAGAUUUGUUCUAUGAAAAAUUGAAUUAAUAAAAAAAAAGUCUUUUUUCUAUAGGUUUCCUAAUUGAUUCAUUAGCUUGAGUUUACAUUACCAUUAUAUGAAUUGCGAGAUUUUAAAGUGUCAUGGUAGUGCAGUUCUUCUAUUACUAUUAUAUGAUCUAGUUUUAUGCACCGUUGGUUCAAAGGAUUGGAGAUUUCAACAUCAGAAAAAGAAGAUGAAAAUUGCAAUCUUUGCAUCUUGAUGGUCUCAAUACUAGCACAGAAUUUGACAAGUGUCCCUGCAGUCUACACCUGUACACACUCGAAACCAACAAGCAUGACACGCACUCGAUCCCAAACUGGUCCAUUUCCUUUCUAUAUAGCCCUCACCGUUUUCCACAUUUGUUUUCCCAAAGCUUUACACUUUCAAGAUAACCAAACAAAGAACCAUCAAUCUGUUUUUUUAUUUUUGCCUAGUUCUUGACAAAUUAGUGUGCUGUUGCCCGUUGGUUUUGCAUUGCUGAAGUGAAGAUCAACAAAGAACCAAGAAGAAGACAUGGCUAGAACGGUUGGAAGAAGCUUGGCUGCUCCAUUACUGUUUCUGAACCUGAUUAUGUAUUUCAUCGUUUUAGGCUUUGCGAGUUGGGGCCUCAAUCAUUACAUCAAUGGGCAGACUAACCAUCCCAGUAAGCCCUCUAUUCCAUUCUUUCCCAUCCUCCUCCUCCUAUUCAUGCAUGUACACAACAAAAAACAUUAUUGUAAGCAAGGUGUUCAUUCUUUUAGCUUAGUCUCUCAUGUACACAAAAGCAUGUUUAGCUGGUUUUGUACAUUUUUUUCACAAAUAGUAAUAAACUUUGUGGUUCUGGAUCCAAAACAAUUUUCAGUUUUCCUACUAUAUGGAGACAGUUGAAAUAACCGAAAUUACUGAAGAAAGCAUUAUUCCGUUUGGGACUGUUUCUCAAGCUUUGUUUUAAGCACUGCAAGAAAGCAGUAUUUCAUUAGGGACUUUUUCAUGCUUCCUUUUUUUUUGGUUUUUUAAGUUACAUGCACCACUAGGAGCUCAAAAUACAUAUCUCCAGAUGGUCGAAAUGCAAAAUUAUGUUUCAAAACUUUAAAUGAUAGGUGGGCUGCAUGGUUAAUCAUCUAAAACCACGAUAUCCUUUGUCACGUAUGUUUCAGGCUUUGGAGGAAACGGAGCAACCCCGUUCUUCCUGACAUUCGCCAUACUAGCUUCCGUUCUGGGGAUUGCUUCGAAGUUAGCAGGUGGAAACCAUUUAAGGGCUUGGAGAAGCGACAGUCUAGCGGCUGCUGGAGCAUCUUCCUUAGUCGCAUGGGCCGUAACUAUUCUAGCUUUCGGGUAUAAUAUACAAUAUAACAUACUCAAUUUUCUCCAAUCUUAUGAACUCCAGGGUAUAACUUCAUCUUUUUUGCACCGUGGGGUUGUGAAAUAAUGCAGAUUGGCAUGCAAGGAGAUAAAUGUUGGAGGCCGGAGGGGAUGGAGGUUAAAGGUUCUUGAGGGGUUCAUAAUAGCGCUAGGAGUGACUCAAUUGCUCUAUGUGCUGCUGAUCCAUGCUGGGAUGUUCAGCAGCAGAUAUGGUCCAGGGUACAGGGACCCUGACUAUGGUCUUGGUGCACCUGGAACUGAGCCCAAAGGUACCGCAGGUGUUACAGGGUCUAGGGUCUAAUGCAGUUGUCUUUAAAAUGGAUAGUUGUACUUUGAAUAUUUGGCAGUUGUUGCUUGGGCUCUGCAGGAGGACUACCUUUUCUUUUUGGUUGAUUUUGAUGAUUAGGACUAGUACUAGUAUUUCUUGUUAAUUUCUCCGGCGCAGACUUAAAUUUUUUUUUUUUUUUUUUGGCAUGGAACUAGUUGUAGCUUUUUAAUUGAAGUUUAGAUCUUAUAUUAAGUUUGCUAAGCAUGUUUGAUGAGGUUUUGUGAUUGAAGCUAUAUUGAUAAGGGGCUUGGAGUCAGUGCAAUUGGGCUUGCUGUAUAUUUGUUAUACUAGUUAUUAUAUAAUUUUUUAGAAAACAGAUAAGUCACCUCAAUGUGUGUAUAUAGCCUUGUUGCGAGAUUGUUGAAUCAAAUGAAGGUGUUUACCAUAGUAAUUUGUUUCGUGCAUCCUACGUGUUGGCAAGUAUAUUUAUCGAAAAGAAAGAUAAAAGAGCAAAAAAUGAUAUUGAUGUUUAUUUGAUUUUGGUCCGUGAGUUCAUUUUCAUGUUUUAUUAUUAUUAAAAAAUCUUAGUUCACGCGUCUAUGUUUCAUCUAAUCUACCAUGUAUAUAUACACAUUAACAAUUAGUAAAUAUUCUUAGAUUUAUACACUCUCUUUAAUUAAUCUUACCUUUCCAAAAAUCUAAAACCUGAUGUACAUUUUAACGAGUGCCCAAUCGACACCUGUUAGACAGAACUCUUUUUUUUUUUUAAUACAAAAAAGUUUAAAUGAACGCCACACCAUCACCAUUUAAUAUUUAAAUUUACUUUUUAUCUAUGUGUCAUAUAUAUACACCUGUUAGUAUAACAAAUCUUUAUACUAACAUUGUAUAUAAUAUUAAUCCAAAUUAAUAUCAUCGUUUUCUUCACACAUUUGUCCUAGCCACCGCGUAUCUGCAUAUUAUUAGACUAUUCUUGAUAAGUAUUAAGAUUCGCAAGAGUCACAAAAUUGUACAGGAAAUAUGGUGUUGACAUAUUCAGAAUUUCAGUGAAGAAAAAACCAAAAGAAAAACAGAAUUGUUGUUAAGCAAAUUAUUAUGUUUAGUCCUGCAAUUGAUGAUAAUGAAUAUGCAAAGAUGAUUAAAGAUAAUAAGUAUGCAAUAAUUAUAACAUGAGGCAUAUAAUUGAGCAUGAUAUGUGGCCUAUAAAUUGUAACGUGGCACUUCUUCAUGAUGAUAGUAACUGAUCAGCACAGUUUUAUAUUUUUUUAGUUGCCAUUGAAUAUUUUUAAUUAUGUCGGUCAAUUUUCUUUUUUUCUUUUUUGUACUCUUAGAUACUUGUCUCAUUUUCAGAAUUCUCCCAAACACUAGUUCAAGGAACCGCAAAUUCCUAGAUUUAAUUUUUUUUCUUAAUAUUAGAUUUUAAAAAUGUGCUAAGUCGUUUUCUGGAUGCUAAAUCUUGAGAACUAAAAAGCUUCCAUGCACGGGAACUGCACGACAUAAUUUGAGGAUGUCACUGCUUUUGUGGGUGUAAAAUACCCAAGAAGGAGGAGAAAAUUCUUCAUAAUUAUUAUAGUGAAUUCUUCCAAAAUUUUUCCGUGAUAAGUUAGUAAACUAAAGAAUAUUACUGAUAGGAGCCUUCGAGCAUAAACAUUAGGGAACUGGUAAAAAAUUUGAAGCUUAAUCAAAAAACUAAAAGUUUACAAAUUUUCUUGCAGCUACUCUUGGCUAUGACUCUAUUUUCUCUUUUAUACUAGUUUCUUUCGUGUGCAUUUGCAUGGGCACUUUUCUAUGUUCUAUAACUUUAAUUUUUUUGAACAAAAAUGUUAUAAAAAAAAUUAAAAUGCUAUUUUAUAAAAUUUCGUAUACUGAUUGAAAGACAAACAUUAAAAUUAAACAUAUUAAAAAUGGUCAAUUUAUAAAAACUUAAUAACUAGUUUCAAUUGAAUCUCAUCCUGUAAUUCAAUUAUUUUUACUCUAAUUAAUGGUGGCAAGUCAACAUAUAAGUCAAGGAGAUAUAUUAGAAAAUAAGUUUAAUUGAAUAUUUAAUUUAAUCACGCCCAAAAAAAAUUUUAAACCAAACUAAUAGAACUUAUUAUUUGCUCUAAUUAUUAAAAACUAAGAAAAGUAAUUUAGCAGAACUUUUACAACCCCAUGUUUAUAUGAAUAUUAUUAUGAUCUAAAUCGAAUUUAAAUGCACAGAAUAUAAAAAUUAAUAGAAUAUUUUAGGAAAAAAUGACUAUUUAUUCAAUUGAAAUGGAAUUGUAUGAGUAAUAUGCUAAACUUGUGUAGUAUAGCUUCAUUAAAAAAAUGUAAUUAAUAGUACAAAAAUUGCAAGUUCUAUUUAUAGAUUCAUUAAAUGGUCUUGUCGAUUUGAAUUGAAGUCAAGUAGUGCCUGUGCAAGUUUUGUACAGACAUAUACAUACAUUCAUAUUCUUCCAACUCUCCAAUCCUGAACCACCACUAACAUUAUCUUCAACAACAAUUUUGCAUGUUUGCUAUAUAUUCUCCAUCAAAUCGUCAAUUCUGGUCCACCACCAAUGUAAUUGUAUUAACAAAAACAAUAUGGUGCCUUUUUGCUGGUAGAUUUAGUUAGAGGAUACUAUGAUGCCGGGGAUAACAUAAGAUCCCUGGGCAUUUGAUGGCUUUAAACAAUGAUCAUGUUUUGUCACAGUAAAUAAAUUAGAUCAGACAUUGCACGGUUGGCAACUAAUAGUUUUUGAAAAGGAAAGAUGAAAAAAAGAAAGAAGAAGUAAAAUAUGGAAAUUGCUCUCAAAGCAGUUCUUAGGCCUUUGGAUGUUGUCUCAGAUGGCCAUGGCUGCCCUAGAUGUUACAAGCUUGGGCACCUAUACUCAUUAUCAAUAGCCAAAAAAAAAAGUACUAUCACUUUCUCUUGUAGCUAGCUUAAAACGUGACAAUCCAAAUCCAGUAAGCAAUGUAAAAAUGGCCAGCAAAUAUGUUUAUCUAAGACUACCUUUUGGCUGCAUGAAUAUGAUGUUCGUUAUUCACCUCCAAUAAUGGAUCAAUAAUAAGUGUAGUCAAAAUUUCACCACCUACAUUAAUACCAGGCAUGAAAAAAAGCUUAAGUUGAGAUCUCUCACCAAGAUUCUGGGAGUUCAUUCUUUUUUUUUUUUUUUGAUUUCGGAAGUGCCCAAAGAACUCGAACAAAUUUUGUUGGAGCAGGCUGAGCGCCGGAAGUGACAAACUGCAGAGACAUUGAGGAUUCUAUCCAUCACACUCACCGUGGCAAAAAUCUGCGAGAAGCCUAAAUUCUGGUAAGUGUGGAUAAAAAGAAAUCCUGAAAGGGGACAACAAUUUUAUUUUUAGAUCAAACUAAGCAAUUUAACCAUUUUGGGUAUCAUCAUAAAAAACUCAACAUUUUGAAUGAAAUUUUCUGGGAUUUUCUUGUUUCGAUUCUUUAAUCUUGGGUUGUUAAUGUAUUGCUAAUAUCAUUUUAAAUUGAUUCAUAAUUCAAUGGGGUUUUCAUUACAUGGCUCGUACAUUGCACGGUUGGCAACUAGUAAUUUUCUAAAAAGUAAGAUGAAACGACAAAAAAAAAAAAAGAGGUAAAAUAUGGAAAGUGCUCUGAAACCACUAUUAGGCCUCUGGAUGUUGUCUGAUAUGGCCAUGGCAGCCCUAGAUAUUUCAAUUUUGGGAACAUGUAUAUAGUCAUGAUCAUUGGCCACAACAAAAAAAAAGAAAAAAAAAAAAAAGAAACCUUCUUUUGUAGCUAGCUUAAAAAAUGACAAUCCAAAUCGAGUAAGCAUGUAAAAAUGGCCAGCAAAUAUGUUUAUCUAAGACUACCAUUUGGCCGCACAAAUAAGAUGUUCAUCGUUCACCUCCAAUAUGGAAUCAAUAAUUAGUGUAGACAAGUUUUCGCCAUCUAGAUUAAUAAUGCCAGGCAUGAAAAUAAGUGUAAGUUGAGAUCUGUCACCAAGAAUCUGUUGGGAGUUCAUUUUUCGCAAGUGUCCAAAUGAGUCGAAAAAAAUCUGCAAGGGGAAGUUGGUUGGCAUGUUAGACCAGAUAGGAAAUUCUUUAGCUGAUUCCUCGUUCCUGAAGAUUGAAUGAAUUCUGAGAUAAUAAAUCAAUCAGAAGGUGAUUAUGUAGUAAAACACACAGAUUUCCAGAAGCAUAUGCUUCGUGAAAAGAGAGAAUAAGAAUUCAUUUCAGAUGGGACAUGAAACUCAAAACACAAAGGUGAUAAUGAAUUUCCAUAGAGGAAUGGCUACAUUGGACUUGGACGAUGCAUAACUUCUCAAAAAAUAAUAUUGGCCCCUCCUAAAUAUGCCAACGAUGAUGAAAUGAAAGAGUGAAUCAUGAAAAUGAGUUCAUAAGCUUUAAAAAAAUGGCCAGCAAAUUUUUAACUCAAAAAAUGGAUUAUGGUUCAUGUCGAAGAGCCCAUAAUGGAGUUGUAAGGAAAAACUUUAUUUUCGUCAAAGAAAGAAAAGAAAAAAAGAAAAGGGAGAAAGAGAAUAAGACAGAACCUUGUACUUUAGAUCAUUUGCUGUUAAAAAAGUCUGAAUUCUCAAUGAUUAACGAUCACACACUAACUCAUUUAACCUCUUGUAUGACUUGGUUGGGUUCUAGAACAAAAAUAGAAUUGGUAUAGGUGUUGUCACAGAGGAAAACUAAAUCAUGUGAAAACUUUCUCUAUUUUUUUCAUAUUUUUUUAAAAAAAAUAGUUUUCAAAAACCUCAUAGCUAUUGCCCUGCUAUUGAAAUAGGAAGGAAAUAUGGGGCAUCAAGAAUAGACGAUAAAUGCAAUAGAAUGUUAGCUAAAGUCUAUUAAAUGUGAAGUUUUAAUUUCUUUAAUUUAAUUAGAACAAAAAAUUCAUUUAACUUGAAGAAAAAAAAUUAUUAGACAGCUUGUGAAAUUUACAAAUGGUGCUGAUACCAAAUUUUUUUUUUUUUAAAUUGUAUAUAUUUGAUUUAAUUGAUAAGUGGGAUUGUAGGAAGCAAAUUCUUAGCGGAUCGAUUAUGAGAGAUGAUGGAUGUGGGUAGAAUGAAAUGAAUGAUCAACAGUUUUUGUGCCGAAGGGGCGACGUGCGUGCUGAAUUCUAAUUCUACAUCUAAUUUACACUUUAGGAACAAAAGGAAAAAAAAAAAAGAGUAAGGAAACAGAUUCAUUAUUUUAUUCCUACAAACCAAUGAAUUUGUUUUUUUUUUUAUCCCCUACAAACCAUUGAAAAGCAAAGGAAAGUCUUGGUCUUAUAGGAGUUCUUACAAAUGGUAUUAAAUAAGUUCUUAGUUUUUAUUUUGCUUUGGACUUGAUAUUUUUUUUUUUAUCAAUUUGUAUGAUAGUUGAAUUUUCGUUUCCAUUAGCAUCAAUUAUCUUCUUUUUUUGUUAUAUUUUUACCUGAAUUUUAAUAAAAUAUUAAAUAUGUAAUUAAUCGAUAUGUUAAUCUACCAUCAAAAGAAAGAUGGAAAGACGCAAAAUGUAGAAUUAAUAACCAAAAUUCAGAUAAAAUGUACAUAAAUAAAAAUCAAUCAAAUGAGAAGGAGAAACCAUUUUGGAGAUCUGGCUAGGGCGAGAUUGAUCGAAGUCGGUCUUAUCAGCCAUGGACGUUGAUGAAGAAGACUUAAAAGAAAAGGGAGAAAAUUAUUUGCGGCCGAAGAAACCCUUUUUUGUUGCUGCAAAAAAUUCAUCAUUUGAUCAUUAAAAAAUUCAUAAUUUGAUUCAUAAAGCAAGAAAUGUCCCUUAACAUGAAAAUGGCUAAACUUAUCUGUACAGUAACAAGUACUAUCCUCCUCAAUAAUCACGAUUACCAAUGGUUCUUUUUCCUCAGUAAUAUUCUUUUUUUUCUUCUGAGAUAUUAUUGAUAUACGGAAAUAGUAUAGAAGAAGUUGCAGCAACUAUUAAUUUAGGGUACCAUACUCAUGAUCUUAAUUCACUUACGUCUUCACACAUCAUCUAAUGAUUCAGAACUCUUGAAAUCAUUUGAAAGUUGAUAACUCUUAUUUUAUAUCUAACGAUGAAUUUAAUCUUAUCAACACAGUAUUCAAAAGGGAUUGUAGAACUUCCCAUUCCUUAAUUUAUUUUGGAUUAAAUGUUUAGAUUCUCAGAAUUGAGUGCCGAAGAUUAUAGUUUCGAACAAAUGUGAUUCUCUAUUCUGAUAUGAUAAACCAAAUGAAUACGAUUGAUCAACAAGAAAAGCCAAAUAAAUAAGUAAUUCAAGAAGGACCAGGUUGAACGCACGUGCUUUGUACGUGAGUGCUGAGUGAGUUAAUUUAGAAGGAAAAGGAAAAAUAUGCUCCUCAUGCUUGACAGCGUCUGGAUUUCACGGCUAUGUCCCAAAUAAUUAUCAUAGUCAUCCAAGUAAUUUCCUUUUUUUUUUUUUUUGAUAAAACAGAAGUCAAUAUGAUAAUAUUAUCAUAGUCGUCCAAGUAAUUUUCUUGAUCAAUAGAAUUGGCUGGAGUGAAUUUAAUUUCAGAUGAAUUGAUUUGCAGAGAAGAAGCAGUGACUAAAAUUGAGAAGGGAAGAUACUUGAACAACAAAAUAAGAAACCUUUCUCUUAGAAAAGAAAAUUCUCUUUUUAUCAAAAAAAAAAAAGAAGAAGCCUUUCUCUCUCUCACUCUGUUAUCUUGAAAAUUCUCUUUAAAACUCUGUUUUUGAGUGUUAUCUUGGUUUUAUCCCGAUUAGUUUGUGCUUCAAAUUCUCUAUCCCGAAAUUACCUUCUGUCUUGUCUGUCUCGUAUUUAUAUAGCUGCCGUGUGUAUUAAUACAUUGAGAACUCAAGCAAACUCAAGCAAAUCUUUGAAUUUUUGAACUAUAUUUGAAUUGUGUAAACCGAAUUGAAUUUUUGUAUAUGACAAAAGGUAAUUUUGGAAUAGUGGAUUUGAAGUAAUUAAUUUUAUCCGUUUAAGUGUUUACCACUUCUCCAUCUUCCCUCCCCCCAAAAUUAAUGAAUAGAUUUGAGCAUGCAAUGGAUUCUGAAUAGGUUUAAAUAGACAACUCAAUUAGACUUAUUUAAUUAGUGGGUACUGGAUUGACUUGCGUUACCCAUUUAUAUCGAUUUAAAAUUUCACAUUUAAACUCAAACUUUUUUUUUUGUAUGUUGAUAGGUGUCGAGCCUAUAUAAUAACAAAUUCCUACUCACGAAAAAUAUUAAUUUUGUGUAUAGUGAUAAGCAGGGUCGAAUCUACAGGGACUAGAAAAAUUCGUUUCUUCUAGAGUACAGAAUAAGGGGGAUUUUUAUAAAAAAAUGAGAAUAAUUAAAUAACUUAAAUUAAAAAAAGCCUAACUGAUAAUUUAUUAAAAUUGAAACAAUAAUAAAUAAAUUCUAGCCAAGAAAUAACUUCGGAGAUGGUUCACUUAAUUGAUUAUUGAUGCAAUAAUAAUUUCAUUUAUUCACUGAGAAAUAAGUUGUAACUAUCAAACAAGCGAUGAUAAUCAACCUCUCCUUACUGUAUUGAUGGUUAAGGUACGGCCGUUAAUCACUGCCCUAAUCAAGAAAUAACUUUAGGUAUGAUUUUAUAGUUUAAUUUUCCAAUUGCCAUAAGAAUUAGAGAAGUUUUGUUUUAAUCAAAAUAACACAUUACGAGAGUUAUUUUAAAUUAGCUUAUAUGUCCCCUUGACACAAAUCCAAUCAUGUCAGUUACGGAUUUAAUUGCGGAUUUAAUUGCUCUAAUUGGUUAUUAAACAAUUACGGAUUUAAUUGCUCUAAUUGGUUUUAAGUUAUUAGAUUAAUUCAAAUAUCGAGUCCUAGAUAUUCAAAUAAUGUAAUAACCAUAAGAAAUUAAAUCACGAAGCAUAUGAAUACCAGUAAAUUAAAAAUAAAUAUAAUUAAUUAGAUCUCACAAUUUUAGUUGAACCAAAUCCUCCGUUGUUCGUUGACUAGAAUGAAGAGUUUAAUUCAUCUCAAUUGAAGAAAUUGCACGCAAAAUAGUAGAAGUAAUUGCCACGGCCAUUUUUCAAUUGUUAGAUGGAGUGCCAAGAGGAAAAGAAAAAGAAACGUUGUUUUUGUUUCUUGUCGAAAAGAAAAAAGUCCAGAAUGAUGUUCCUAUUCCACUCGGAAAGAAAAGAUAGACCACACUUGUUUCUUUCUUCGUUUCUUACUUUUACUAAAACUCCUCUUUCCAAACAAAAUCCAAAUCCUAAUAAGCCAACAACUUUUUUUUUUUUUCAAAAAGUUCUAAAAGAUAACUUAGACUAGUAUACUAACAAAAGUAGAAGAGUAUCCAUUCCUUGAAGAGUCCGACUCUUGCAACUUCAAUUUGAAAGCCAAAUUCCGAACUUUUCAGAUGUGCAGGGUUAGAUUUUGAUGUGCCCAUGCUGAACAGCACUGAAGCGCAGUGAAAAAUCAUAUCUUUAAUUCCUUUUUACUCCGAAUCCCUACAGCCAACACCAAUUACUAAAUAUGAGUAGAAUCUAUCAAUUAACGCAAUAUUUGGUACAAUUCAAGGGCAAAGAAUCAUAAAUUUAAUAACAAAAAUGCAACCUAUCAUAUGUGCUAGGUGGAUAAAUUUGAAUUUCUUAUCAAUCUAGUAGCAAUAAAAUAUGGGUAUUUCUUAUCAAAAAAAUUUGGGAAAAAAAGCCAAAAAAAUAAGUAAAAUUUUAAGCGGGUCAUUAUUGGAUAUACCUAUACCCAUACCCAUUUAAGAUUACACCCAUUUAUGAUCCACUCAUUUUUACCUAUUUAUUUACGGGUAUAAAUGAAUUAACAUAUUACCCAAUCAUAACCUACUUGAAUCCAUACCAAUCACCAAUUUUGACACAUCUAAUAUUACUUUUAAUUCAAAAGUUAUUGGGUUAGUUUACACCAAUCACCCCAGGGCUUUUAUAUGUUUUUCAUACUUUUCUAUUAUGAAAGGUAUGUGUUUAGAUAACUGGUUCAUAAAUUUUUUUUUUCUCAAAGUUUAUCUGUAUCCCGUGCAAGGUGUGUAAAAUAACGUAAUUGUAUCAACAUCAGCAAGAUGAUGCCUUAUAUAUAUAGCAUGACGUGCUGCAAAACAGUGGUAGGAGUUGCAGGGUCGGAUGGGCUACAUCCACAACACCCACAGCACCCAAGGGAGAAGAUUUAAUAGUCGGAAUGCACGCCCUUCUAUAAAACAAGUAGUCUCUUAUCGCAGGAAAGUUUCCUAGUAGAAUAGACAACGAGAUGAAGAAUUACUGGAACAACCACUAGAAAAUUCAGAGAUGGACCAAACCUUCCCAGACAAAUUAAUACCGUCUGAAUCCAUGAUUAUUGAACACCAAAAGCAACAAGUUAAGGUAUAAUUUGAAAGGACAACCAUGAAAUAGAGGAUCCUUAUCUCUCAAAAAGUUUUUAAAAAAGGUACGUAGUUAUAUGCUUGUGGGAACCAGAGAAGGUUCUUGAUGCCAUUGUUAAUGCUAAGUGAAAAAGAAUCCAUUUUUAUCAGAUAUUUGUUUGCGGGAAAAGAAGGAAUCUUUGGUCUUUUUGAACCAUACUUGUUAGUACUUCUUUUUACCCUGCCUUGAAAGGUUAGUUUAUCUUCUUUGCUCAUACUGCACUCAUCUGCAAAGAAGUUUUCAAGAAAGUUUCUCUGAGUCCAACCCAUUCUUGCUAAUUGGAAAUGACAAAUCUUGUAGAUUCUCCUUAAUUGAUUAAAAUUAAUUCCAUAGCAUUCUUUUUUUUUUUUUUACUAUGAAAAUUAAAAUAUUUUCAUAGCAAGGAAAACAAGAAUUCCAUAGCAUUCUUGAGUCCUGCUUCUCUUUCUCUUAGACACUGAAAAUUUAAAAUAUUUUCAUGGCGAGGAAAACAAGCAAGCAUGGGCACUAAACAAACACUUGAAUCAAAAAAAAAGAAGAAAGCAAGAAGUAAUUUCGAGUAAAGAGGCAGACGUGCGAAGUGCGUACUUACCUCAUUAUAUCUUUGUAGGGAAAGACCUUAUUUUUGUUGUAAACUAGUAUCAUUAAUUUACCUUCUUCAAUACAUUGUAAGUGCUAAUCAAGCAAUGAAUGCAGUUAUUGGAAGUCAAGUAUGUAGUCACAAUAUAUUUCUCCUCUUUUUUCUUUCUUUUUUGUGUUCGUCUAUUACUUCUUCUUCUUUUAUAAAUGGACUCUUCGCUCCUGCUCUACUGUAUCAUCUCACGCUCUCAAUCUUGAUCUUCACCGUCCGUUAGCUCGUACUUGCAAUGGUAUUUCUCUUUUCUAUUUUUGCUGAUUUUCAAAUGAUGUAAAUUUCCCUAUUUUUAGUCAUACCUAUUCCUACAUGUUUGUCAUUAUUGUUGUUCUAAUCUACUGGUUUCUAAGCCUUUCGAUUUGGACUUUUGUGAUUUUCUAUUGAGAUCUGCUCCUAAUUUGCUGCUGUGACCACUCUAUGUUAUUAGGAUUUUAUUCCAUAUCAUAUGCUGAUAUUAAAAUUAUUUUCCAAAAUCUGUACAUAUCAAUGGAAGAUAGAAGCAUCAAUUUCGUCUGCUUUUGCAUUCACUUUUUUUUUUUUUUUUUUUUUUUUUCAAUGUCAAAAUCUUUGAGCGAUGGAGCAAUGUAGUCAUAGCGUUAUGGAUUUUUUUUAAAAGAAAAAGAAAAAUGAUUUUGUUUGGAUUUCUUAAUCAAAUGGUACAGCGUCAAUUGAUCCUGUACAUAUUACGAAAGAAUUUGUAUUCAUGAUUCCUAUCUUUAUCUUUGUCCAGGAUAUGUACUCAAUGCAACAUAAAUUUGCUACGGUUUGAUGUCAAAUGCUGGUCUCAUCCCUUCUAUAUUCAUCCCAACAUAUUUAAUUACUUCGUUCAAAUAUUCGUAAAAGUUCUCUAAAACACAAAGGAUAAAGUAAAGAAACAAUUCCUAGAAUAUAAGAAUAAAGAAACAGGAUAACAAUAGAAAUGAAAAAAAAAAUUAGUGGAAUGGUAUGUAAAUUAAUUCCUAUUUUUCUUUUGCUAAUUGAUCAGAAUACUUCACGACAAUGAAUACUAACAAGGACGUGCGAAGUGCGUAUGUGCCUUUCUGUUUGUAACCAGGACACUCUUCUUAUUUGUUACAAACUCUCAUCAAAAUUUUCUUCUUCACUAUAUUAAUUGUAAAUGCUAAUCUGGCCAGUGAAUGUAAUUCUUGGUUUUUAACUGCAUAAUCACAAUAUAUUUCUCUUGAAUACUCAAUGCAACAUAAUUUUGUUGCGAUUAAAUCUUGAUAUAUAUAUAUAUAUAUAUAUAUAUAUAUAUAUCAAAUGUUGGUCACAUCCCAUACAAAUCAGCCCAACAUGUUCAAUUAGAUUGUUAAUUAGUGUUAAGGUUAUGAUCUUAACUGCGAAGUAAAUGUUAAAUUCCGAGUAACUGAGAUUAAUGUCAUCUUAUGCAGGUUGUGUAUGAGAAUGGCUGUUUUGAUGAAAUUAAAGGAAAUGGCUCAAUCAAGUUUCCAAGUCCACCUCAGUUGUCCCUUGCUUUGAGCUUAAUUAGCCUUCUUAGCCACAGGAAAACAAAAACAAAAAUACAAAUAAAUAAAAUAAAAUAAGAUAUAUGAGAACCAUCCUAUUGCCUACAUGUCAAAAUUUCGAUGAUUCAUGAUUUCUUGCCUAGUGUUAUCCCACAAGUAGUUUUUUUUUUUUUUAAUUUGGAGGAGAAUUUGUUGCCAGAUUAUAACCGUAGUAAAAAAAAAAUCUAUUUCUUUUUUGAUGAAGAAAACAUUGAUCAAGAAUGAAUUUUUUUUAAAAAGAAAAGAUAAAUGGCACGUGGAAUGCACGUGGCAGGUACCUAAAUGUUGGCCUUCAUGCAUUAGAGAUUUGCCUGAUUUUGGAGUGUUAUUUUGUGAUUUUCCGAAGAACUGUUUUGUAAUGUAAAUUAAGUUGGGGGAAAAAAUUUAAUAAUUUUUUAGGAUUGCAAAAUUCCGUACUUAGAAGGCUUCAUUUUUAUUUCUUCAUCUUAUUCAUAAAGCAGAAACUUAUAUUUUGUGAAGUUGUAGAUGGGUAUUGGACAUGGCGCGUGUCUGUGGUGUCUAUGUAGAAAUGCGUAGUUGCUUGUUUGUUGAUUUUUCACUCAAGAUUAUAUCACAAAAUUACAAAUUACCAUGCAAGGGCUUCAACUUUAGUUUCCUUCUUUUUUCUUGUGAAAAGAAAAAUAAUUUUUUGUUUCGACUAUUAGAUGGUAACAACACUAUUGCAUAUCAGGUUUCAAAACUUGAUGGUGUGCCAAAACAAAAAAAAAAAGAUAAAUUAGAACUUGACAAAUUUUGGUGAAGUGCUAAUGUGACUAUUUGCAGAGUAUUUAGAAGAUGUAGCACAGAGAGUCAGAUACACAACACUUAAGAAUCAAUGUCAACCUUCUCAUUUCCUACCAAAAAGAAAAAAGAGAAAAACUCUAACCUUUUUAACAUUCAAAAUAACUCUUAAUUUUUUCUCAUAUCAAAAUGAAACUGUAAGAUCAGUCUUUUUUUUAUUUCAAAACAAAAAUGUAAGACCACUCUUAAUUUUUUCUCUUUUUUUAAUAGCGAAACAAAAUUUUAUGAUCACUGUUAAUUUUUCCCUUUUCAUCUCGAAACAAAACUUUGGGUAAGUCUUCAAUUAACUUUCCCUCUUAAUUUGAGUGGUGUGAUUUUGGUCAUGAUUGGUGUUUCAUGUCAUAAAUUAUAAUUCAACAAUUUCUUGCAAUUAGCGUUUAAACUAGUUAUUUAUACCACAAAACGCUUUAAUCCACAAUGUUAUUGAAAGAUUUUCAACAUACUACGUACAAAUCUGUUCAAAAAGCAGGUGAAGAACUAGUUGCUAAAUAUUAUCAUAGCCUUUCCAUGUUGACCUAUGACCAGCUCUUUGGUUUUUUUUUUUUUUUUUAAUUAGUUCCAAAAGGAAUCUGAUGGCAGGAUGGCUUCCUAGUAGAACAGACAAUGAGAUAAUCAGAACACCCAUCUUAGUAGUAAACUCAAAAGCUGGACCAAACCACCAGCAAGAAAUUAUUUUACUAUCUUAAUCCCUGAUUAAUUAACAGCAAAAUUAAAAGCAGCAAGGUUCUUUUAAAUAGGAUCAAGCUGGAAGAUGCCUGGAAAGGCUCAAGUACAAUUGAAAAGAUAACCAAAUUAGGGAUCCUAAUCUCUUGAAAUUGUAAAUUGGCUCAAAAAAUGAUUGUUGUUGAAUUUGGCUAAAAAAUGAUGCUCUUGUUGUCCCAUCUGGUUUCAGAAGAUAAGUACGGACGUGUACAAGCUAAACAUUCAAUGAAUGGAAUUGAAGCAAAGGACAAAAGUUCAGAAUAACAAAUUGAGUGAUUCCCUAUCCUAAUAGUUAACAUAGGAGAUUGAAUUAUUUAUUUCUUUGUUUUUUUAAUCGUAAGAACCCGAAUUGUGCACGUAACUGUAAAAAUUAUAUGACAUUUUACAAUUUGAUAAUCACAGGAUAUGUCCUUUUGAAUGUUGAUUGGCUCUGGCAUGGAUGAAGAUCUAGAAGUACUUGUACGAUUGAUGCACGAGGGCAAGCGUGUUUGUUGGGAUUGAUUCGAAAUGCUUAGUAGAUUCCAAUCAAGCAGCUAUGCAAUUUAUUUUAUUAUUUAUUUAUAUAUUUUAUAAGUAUGUAGCUAGGCAAUGUAUCUAUCAAGAUUUUAUUGUUCAUGUAGCAAAGGUUAAUUUGGUCUAGGAUUCUGAGACAGUAUUGGAUUUGUAUGAAUCUAGUUGGGACUGUUGCUAGUGUUUUUCCUAGGUUUGAUAUUGUAAACGAAAAACCAAAAUAGACUGUUUUCUACCGUUUUUCCUAGUUAUGAUGGAAAUUAGCAUAUGUCAGGACGACAGUUACUAUGGCUAACAUGCACCUAGAGCAAAUCCCAUUGGUAACAUGUCUAGUGGCCAUUUUUCUGCAAAUGUGAGCUCCAUUUUCUUCAUUUUUCGCUGAUUUUCUCUAUGCAAUUCGUCAUUGAUCAAGAUUUUGCUGGUCUGUGGUCUACGACUCUAAGACAGUAUUAGCUAGAUAUGUAUGGAUCUAGUUAUUGGGACUGUUUCUAGUGUUUUUCCUAGGCUUGAUAUUGUAGACUUUUUCUUUUACCAACUACGAUAGAAAUUGGCAUUAAAAUUGCAAGGAGAGCAGUUACUAUGGCUAACAUGCUCCUAGGCUUGAUAUGUUUUUUUUUUUUAGUAUUUUGAAACAUUAAAAAAACACGAAUUAUGCACGCAAUUCUGAAAAAUUAUAUGGGCAUUUUACCAUUCAAAUAUAUUCACAGACUUAAUCCUUUUGAGUAAUCCUUGGACCUCAUUUGCUACCAUUUGUAUUUAGUUCUAAAGUUAGGAAGAUGAGUUUUUAUGGUGGGGUCUGGAUCAAACUACACGCAACAGGUUCACCACAGAAGACCAAUCAAUUGUGUCGCUUGAGAAGAACAGAACAAGAAUGUUUGAUUAUAGAGUGAGGUGCCUAAUGCAUAUAGAAUAAUCUCCCUAAUGAAGUAAAUUAUACAGAGUAGGGUGUCUGAUUCGACUUUUAAACUCUCUCAUUUUCUUGUUUUUCUCGUAAAUCUUGGAGUUUUCCUUGAAUUCAAAAAAAAAAAAAAAAAAGUUACUGUGCUUUAUAGAGUAAAAAUGGCUAAUAAAGAUGAUGAUAAUAUGUCUCUGAAUUUCCGGUUUCAUAAUCUCAAUUUAACAAUAUACUUUAGCGAAAAAAAAAAUCAGAACAACUAAAGAGGAAGCCAACUUUAUGACAGCAAGAAACUUUUGGAUCACUCGUACAUUUGUUAUUUGGAUGACACAAGUGUUAUUCCCCUCGGUUUAAGUAAAAGCUAACAAACCUUUAGAAUUUUUGAUUUAUACGGAGAAGGUUUAUUAGGCAUUUGUACACAAUGCCUUUAGACUUUUUUGAUUUAUUAUACACUUUACACGGAAGUGUAAGUAGUCAAAGAAUGGUAACAAAAUUCCCACUCACAUGCCUUAGCUUCUCUUUGUUAGUUUCUUUUUGCCUUUUCUCCUUUUUCAGCCUUCAUUUCUCUGAGUACCAAUGCCAAUUUCCCAACUCAUAACUUGUUAAACAUUUUCUUCAAAAUAGGUGGAUAUAUUUACAGGUGUGAUGUCCCUAAUUUCGAUUGUGACGCGCAAAGUCUACCUCAAAAGAAUUCAAUUAGCAAAGUAGUUGGAACUUGGAAGGCUUCUAAUGGAGUUGCCCAAGAAAUAAUUCAUUGGAAGAAAUAUUUCUCUUUUUCUUCUUGGAAAAAAAUAUAUUUAUAGAUUAUUUCUUUCUUUCUCCAUCCACUGUUGACACAUUGGGAAAACGGAUUCUGCACGCAUUUGAAUUUCAGGAAAGGUGAUUCGCACAAAUACACACUGAUCCACAUGCAUACAUAUACUUUAUGCACAACUUCUACUUGAAUCUAGUGAAAGAUAAGUUUGAGGGGAAAGAAAGAAAUGUGAACUAAUUUGUUCUCAGAGAAGGAAAGAUUAUUCGUUUUUGGUUUAAAAUGAAACAAGGGAAAAAAAAAAACAAGAAAAACACCUUAGUUGUAUUUCAUUACUGAACUGAAACUUCAUUGAUUAUGGGUUGGGGUCUUGAAGAACUUGAUACUUGGAAAGGGAGCUAAUUUGACUAUUUGAAUAUCAUGGAGAGGGUUUUAGCAUGCAAUUAGUUCCAUAUGUAAUAUAUUUUCAUUUGCUUUUAUGUCUUGCGAAUUGUUGGCUAUUUCUUUUUUUCUUCUGAGAUAUUAUUGAUAUACGGAAACAGUAUAGAAGAUCAUUCUUAAUUCAGUUACGUCUUCACACAUCAUCUAAUGAUUUAGAACUCUUGAAAUCAUUCAAAAGUUGAUAAUUCUUAUUCUAUAUCUACAUAGUAUUGGUGAAUUUAAUCUUAUCGAAAUAGUAUUCAAAAGGGAUUGUAGAACUUCCCUUUCCCGAGUUUAAUUUGGAUUAAAUGUUUAGAUUCUCAGAAUUGGGUGCCGAAGAUUAUAAUUUUGAACAAAUCUGAUUCGCUAUUCUGAUAUGAUAAACCAAAUAAAUACGAUUGAUCAACCAGAAAAACUAAAUAGAUAAGUAAUUAAGAAAGGGCCAGGUUGAACGCACGCACCUUGUACGUGAGUGCUGAGUGAGUUAAUUUAGAAGGAAAAGGAAAAUUAUGCUCCUCAUGCUUGAUAGUGUCUGGAUUUCACUGAUAUGUCCCAAAUAAUUAUCAUAGUCGUCCAAGUAAUUUCCCUUUUUUUUUUUUUUUUUGAUAAAACAGAAGUCAAUAUGAUAAUAUUAUCAUAGUCGUCCAAGUAAUUUUCUUGAUCAAUAGAAUUGGCUGGAGUGAAUUUAAUUUCAGAUGAAUUGAUUUUGCAGAGAAGAAGCAGUGAUUAAAAUUGAGAAGGGAAGAUACUUGAACAACAAAAAUAAGAAACCUUUCUCUUGGUAAUGAAAAUUCUCUUUUGAUCAAAAAAAAGGGAAGCUUUUCUCUGUCUCACUCUUUAAAACUCUGUUUUUGAGUGUUAUCUUGAAUUAUCCCAAGAACCGUUUUGUAAUGUAAAUUGGGCUAGAAAAAUAAGGGAUUUUGGGGCUUUUAGUUUUGGUUUACCAUUGUCUUUAUUUAUUUAUUUAUUGUCUUUGUUAGUUCUUACCGCACUAUUUUUUUAAUGUGGGUAUCUGUAUGGCACUUGAUAUGGGUAUCUGUCAUUCAUUCAAACUCGUUAAUGUAAAAAAAUUUGUCAGUAUGUGUGUGUGUCUCUCUAUAUAUAUAUAAUAUGUGUGUCUAUAUAUAUAUACACCAAAUAUGUGUGUGUCUAUAUAUAUAUAUAAUAUUGAAAGAAGUGUUGGAAAGGCUAUACAUGCAUAUGGGUGUGGUAUGGACGUUAUGCGGUGUCUAUAAUAGGUUAUUAUAUUUCCCCUCCGGCCCUCCACACCCGAAACAGAAGAGGAGACGAACUCGAGUUGGAAGUCAGAGGAAGAAAAUGCGUACUUAUUUGUUCGUUGAUUUAUUACAAAAGAUCAAAUCACUAAACCAUGACUGAAAAUGUUGGGAGUUUCUCCUUUAAUUAGUUGCUACUGCUUUUAUCGGAAAAGUAAAUGUUCAUUAUUGUUUUCACUGUAUUAUACUAAAACAUUAUUACAUGCCAAGAAUAUUCACUUUUCAAGAGUGAAUAUAUCUAAAAUUUAUGAAUAACAUUGGAAUUAGAUCGAGAGAUUGAUUUAAACUAUUUGUAAUUGUUAUAUAUAUUUUCUUUUUUUGUAGUUGAUAGGCUCAUCCGUAACUCUCAAAGUUACAGUACUUGUAAUCUUGAUAUUUUCUUUUUUCGCAAUUAAUUAGUAGGCUACAACCGAGAAAUAAGGAUCAAUAUCACCAGAUUGUCAUUGCUAAAUAUUACCAUAGCCUUUUCUAAUGAAGUUAAUUAGUUCCGAAAGGAAUCCAUACCUCAAGCAGUAUUCACGUUUAAUAACUUUAGGUAAAACAGGCUGAAAUACAUCUAAUUAAAGAUCAAAACUGCUUUAUUCUCUAAUCAAAUUCGUAAUCAUAAGCAUCCACCGCCUAUGGAUUCUAAGCUUAUAAAAUUUGCAAAAAUCAAGCUGCCGUAAUGAAAAAGCAAAAGGUUAUAGCAAAUCGGAAUAAUUACUGUAAUUGAUCUUUGUGGUGUUAAGUACAAUUAUACUAGCACUUGUUGGUGGAUUCUGAUUUGCGUUGAUGAUGGCUAUGUAUGCCUACCCAAGGAAUUUGGACAUUAAAGAAAGAAUAACGUGCUUUUCUCUCGAGGCAGAAAAUACAUUUGAUUUGCUUUUAUCGUUUAAAUCAUAAUGACCUUGCUCUAAUCACCAGGAAUUUGAAAGAUAAAAGAUAUUCUCGAGGGCAAAGAAUUGGGUAGACAUGGUCUAUGACUAUAACCGUAAAUUGAGUGGCUCAAAAUUUAUCACAUCACUUUACCAAUUCAAGUAUUAAAUGCACAAUAAAAGUGUACUAGAUUUAGUAGACUAGGUGUAUCCAAGUUUUUGCCAUUCAAAAUAUCCUUAGACCUCUCUAGCUAGUCUCCACUAUCACUACUUAUUCUUGAUUCAAAAUCUUAUAGGGCAAUAGUAAUGAAGCCUAACCUUCUUUUUCUAAUACUAAUGAAGCCUAAUCUUACAAAUUUUUUCUAAUACUAAUGAAGCCUAACCUUCUUUUUCAUUUUUCCUAGGGACCAUUUUCUUUUCUUUUUUUGUCUGUAAUAAUUCUUGGAUAACAAUUUAUGUAUUUGUUGUAUUAUAAAACUACAUUCCAAAGGAGAAAAUGGAGAGGGGAAGGGAGGACGUUGAGGAAGUUGACCACGUUGACUUAGUCAACUCUUGUGGUGAGCAAACUAGAGGGCCUAGAAGCUAGAAGGGGUCAAAGUAAAAGAUCGCUGCACUUAGCUUUAAUCCUAAACACAAUUAAAAUCUCACACGAACUGCAAAUUAAUAAGAAAAAAAAGAAAGGAAUGAUUAAUUAAUCAAUAAUCAUGUACCUAAUUAGGAGGUGCAUUGCUGCAGGACUUUUGUGCUGUUCUGCUACCAAAGGAUAUGGUCAAAGUACAGUUAAGACAUGAGCUAAGAUUUAGUAGUGCAAGGCAACCCGACCGGCCUGCUAAGUUCAUGACAAUAACAUCAUUAAAGUGCAUGCCAUAGAGGAUCACAUCUUCUAAUCUUCGACUUUAAUCGGAUUAAGACAGGAGUACGAGGAGGUUCUUCACUUAUAAGAUUGUGCUCUUGAUUUUCUUCUCAUAGAUUUAUUUUAGUGCACGAACUUUUUGUUAUUGUUCUUUACAGAACACCUUUAGGCCGUUUUUUUUUUUUUUUUUUUUGAAAAGAAGAGCAUGUAAAUGUAGUGUGUGUCUAUAUAUAUAUAUAUGUAUAUUUUAAGAGAGACUCUAAAUCUUAUAAGGAGCAUGGAAUAAACUAGAGUUUAAGAGUUGAAUCAUGGACUUUAACCUCGUCUAAACAAUAUUUUUGUCUUCCAAGAAAAUAUUUUUAGUGCAUUUCGUUGAAAAACUAGAGCCUUUUUGGUUUGUGAUAUUGUUUUAUGGCUCACAAGUAAUGUUGACAUAAUUAAACUAAAUUUUCUAGUAGUUAAUAUUUCUUAUUUCUAAUUUAAAACUAUUCAAGUAUAGUCAAAUUUUAGCAGUAGUUGACUCGUUUAAGAUAUAGAGUAAUUAUUUGGCAACUUUUUGUCUUAGUAAUUUCUUGAUUACCAAGUCAUGUUGACAAUAUAUAGGCUGUUUAAAUACUGCUUUCAAUUGAAAAGAGUGAGAGAAAAAAAUUAGAGAGAGUCGUAAUAGUUGUAAAGGUAAUUCUGCUUAGAGUUUAUGUCAAUCUCAAUAUAAGAUAUGUAAUUUAUAAAACUCUUCUUCUCUCACAUAAUUUUAUAUGUCAAAUAUCUUGUACUGCGUGUUUUUUGUGCCUACAAGUAACCCUAUCUUCAUUCAUCAAAUUAAAAUUGUUUCAAGAAUUCAAUGAGUGUAAGUUAACUCAGUGGGCUCUGAUUUCAGCAAUUACAACUUGAACUACAUAGUUCAAAUAUGUUGUGGUCAUUCCUAUUACGCCUUUAACUAAGAGUAAACGUUACCGUGAAGAAGGCCUUUGUUUGUCCAAAAAAAGAAAAAAAAUUGUGUCAAAGAACAUUCCAUCAUAACUUUCAAACAAUCAUUUCAACCUCAAACAACUGUCAAAUGGUUUAUCUCCAUUAAAAGAGUAGUGGUGAAAUCUUUUUGAAGACCUAAAACAUUUGACAUUUGACCUUUGAAGCUGUUGUUGACGAUAAAUCGUGUUGCAUGUUUAAUUUAUUUUUUUAAAUUGUAAAGCAAAUCACUUUAUCAAUAAUUCUCCACUUUCCACCAGGUACGGUUGGCCGUGUUUCCGUAGCCAUUCCACACACAAAUAUUGGAAGGUAAGGUCAAAGCAGGAAUAAAUUUACUUUGACUCGGUUCUUAAUUGGAUGACUCAAAAUGUUAAUCACGUUACCAGGGCAUAAUCUUGUGAGUUCUAGUCCUAGAUAUUAAUCGAAAUACCUAAUUAAUUUUACCUUUUAAUCAUCAUCAUUAUGUGCUAAACUUUUUACCUGCCUUGAUGGUUACAACCAAAAAGCUCAAGAAAAUGGAGUUUCAGUCAAUGGAACAAUUUCGGUCCAAAAUCAUCUGGGGUUUAAUUGUUAAGCACUGAAAAGAUUAACUCGUGAGACCAAUAGAGGGUUUGGUUCCAUUUUUUUUUACCUACCUAAAAAGCUAAAGUGUUUUGGAGACAAAUUUUCAAAAGAGUCAUCCAUUGGCAGCAGCAUGCUUAGCCACAAUUUGCAAGUCUAAUUUAUUGUUUCAUACUUGUAUUCAAUGCCACUCGUGAGGUCAAGAAAAACUAUCUAUUGCAGUAAUAGGACUCUAGGAGACAGGAUGGGGUUGAUUUUGAUUGUUUUGUUAACCUAAUCUCCACGUUGCUUUAAGAUGGGAUUCUGAUUACGUACACAAUCAAUUGUGGUGUCUUGUAUUAGAUUAUCCAAUGACGAUGCAAAAAUUGGUUUUGAUAUGGUGUGUUAUAACAGAUGCAACAAAAUAAGAGAACAAACAAGGACAUUAGAACAGUUUUAGGGGAAAUCAGAUUUUAUUAGGGUUCUAAUUAGAAUAGUUUAUAGACUAAAUAUAAGGUGUAUAUAUAUACAAUCAAACGGACUGGACCUAAAAAUAGGUCCAAAACCAAAACCCAAAAUAAAACAGAUACGGUAACUAAUAUAUACCGUAAGCAGCGAGACCCCGAACAGCUCAACGAAGGUCGAAGACCUGAUUCAAGGCAUCCCAACAUGGUGAGAUCAUAGUAGUAAUACUUGUGUACUUGGUUUUUAUGUGACCAUUUACUCCACUUUUACUCUUGCGUGCUCAUGAUUCAUACUCCAAAAAUUCCAAAAUUCCGAUUAGAAAAGUUUUUAUACCAUUGUACAAAUGUAAAAAGCAUGGGCUGUACAUAUAUCUAGAACUGAGGAUAAUUUUCUACUUCUAAAGAUUGAUUUAGCUCAAAUCCAAAAAAAAAAAAAAUCAUUUUUCUCAUUGUUUUAUGAUAUGGGUGUCUCUUUCUCUUCAUGAUCAAGAAAGCCAAGUGCCAGCAAUGGAAAUUCUUUUCCACGAUGUACUGUAUUUUUGGGAUGUUCUGUACCUAUUAGACAAUCUUGUUCUUCCCACGAAUUUUGUGUUUUUCUUUUCCUCUUUUUUCUGGGAUUUCAACAAUACAUAUGGCAAAACAAUAGAGUAUUUCAUCCGUCAAGUAGCCUUCUCAAUCCCUUUUUGCAAAUCUUAGACUAAUCUAAUUCCUGAAGCACAUGGAUUAUCAAGAAUACGGCUGAGGAGCAGUUGAAUCUAAAUUGUUCAAUUUAGCAGUUUUGUCUUACUAAUUAACUUCAUCCAAGGAAUGAUUUACGUCAUGAAAUAUGGUGAUUUCAUCCAUUCAAUAAGCUAGAUAUCUUUUCUUGCCUGGUUUUUCAAGACUAUGCUAAUGCAAUCUGGGAUUUUUUCCAUGCAUUUUCCCAGAAAACAACAAUUUCUAGUCACGAAAACAUCUCAGAAAAAUGUCUAUCAUUUCCACACCGGCCUAUGUUUUGUAGCAUCCUGGCAUUCGUGUAAUUGUUGAAUAUUUUCACCUAUGCUUUUUUAAUGCAUGAAAAGUGAAAGCCAAACCUACCUCUAGCAGACUCUCCCGGCCCCUUGCAGCUGGUGGACGGCAAUAUAAUAUUCUAUGCAUUUUUCCCUGUCCUCCUGUUUACCAUUUUCUUGGGGGUUCCAUUUAGGCUAUGGCCGUUUUGGAUAUGGUUUGCUGCACCAAAUCAAGGUGCAUAUUGGUUAACAAGUGGUGAGUAGUUCGGCUAUUUUAACACAAACAUGAAACUCAUUAUCAAGGGGAGACAAGCAUGAAAAAAGAUGAGAUCCUGCUGCAAUUAAAUAACUACUAAGAUAAUAUAGCAAAUCUAUAUCUUGUUCAGUGCUGGUCGUAAAGCGCUGUGGCUAUCUAUGACCAAGGGUCUUUUUUUUUUCUUGAGGGCAAACUUGAACUUUUAGAACAAGUCUUAUUCAGUUUGUUGGAUGUUUUUCAUCUCAAAUUAAUAACUGUUGCAUCCUACCAAUUCCGUCAAAUUUUGUCCAUAAUUACUUCCUCCAUUAAUUUAUGAACCACAUCUAAAAUAGUAUCUACCUCAGGGGUAUCUUUGUCAGAUUGAUCUGUCUAAAUAUCCACUUCUCAUUGAUAUGCUCCGUUUUUAGGGGGAAAAAAAAAUUUGGUAUUUGGUGAGGCAAAACAAUGACAGUGCCUCUGCAUAUAAUUAAAUCAAAAUAAGAAAAAGUCCAAAGUUAACGUUUGUAACAGAUGAAAUUCACAAAAUGGGGUAGAGAAUAAGGCACUUACAAAAGUUGGAUGACUAAUUUGAGACCAAAAGAAUUCAAUCACCAAAGUUAGAUGAUCAGUUUGACACUGAAAAAAAUUCAAUCCCCAAAACUGAACUUUUGCAAAAGUUUAGUGACUAUUGUGAAAGUUUCGAGUGGUAGCCAGAGUCACAAGUCACUUGUAUGAGUUAAUGUCCAAUGCAGUCCUUGUAUCAAUAACAGAAUUUGAACAUAUACGGUUUAUUGAGGGAGUGAUUUGCCCUAAUCAAUUGAGCCAACUGAAUGUAAUCCGAUUAUAGGAACAUGAUGCCUUUUUUUGUUUCUUGGGGGUAGGGGGGAGGGGUUCAAGCACACGAGCAUCAAAAACUUUAUGUCAUGCAAGUUAAUUACCCAUAAACAUUCUAAAAUCUACACCAUAAAUAAUAAGAAUGGAUCUGCAAAUCCAACGACCAAGGUGACAUAGAACAAGGAAAAUGAAAAGCUAAAAUGCUUCUAGAAGAAUGAUGGCAUGUCCCAACAUUCCCUUAAGCUUAAGAAAAACAAAAGUGAUUAUGCUCUACGUAGUUGUUUAAGAUAGCCCGUCUCUCUCCGCAAUCUCCAAGCUCUUAUCCAAAUCACCUCAGAAAUGACAGCCAGAGUGGAUUAAAAUAUAAAUUAUGCAAAAGAUCUGAGAAUAAAACCACUUAACAAAACGUAAAGUUCCUUCGGCUUUUAAUAGAACUUUCAACUUUUUAGACAAGAAGUGAAACCAUUAACUUAUUCUUCAACGCGCUUUGCUACUGAAAAGUAGUGUUUUUGCAUGUCAUCCUUUUCGAUCUUACCGUACAGCAGAGGAUUUGCUGUGAUGCCUUUAUUAAAAAUAUCAUUAAUUGGAUUCAAUUAUAUCUUGCGCCGAAUAAUGAACAUAAAAAGCUAAACACUCUGUACUUAAUUAUAGUUAAUUAAAAGGGUAGAGUGAAGAAAAAAUGAUCACUUUAUUGAAUAAUUUUUUGUUUAGCUUUAUUAAACAUACUUUUGUUAUUAAAAAGUUCAAGUCCGGUGGCAAUUUUAAGGACAGUGUUACUGUAUCGCCGUCUAAUAGUUCUAAUAUAAUUGUUAAAGAUGCAAAAUGUCAAUUACUAUAAAUUUGAAGGUGUAAAAUGUAAUUAGCAAAACUAUAACUAUAUGUUAGGAAUCCAAUGAUGAUAUUUUUGACCUAUGAAUGAGCAGUUCAGCGUGAAGAUCCAAUUGAUUUAUAAAACCAAAAAAAAAAAUGCAGUUCUAAUUGAUUUGUAGGGGCUAUAAUCAGCUGCUUUAGAUUUUGCAAUUAGGGCCUUUAUUAGCGUUGAGAAUUAGACAAAGCCAAUAGGAUUUUAUAAAAAAACUUCAUUGGAGAAUUUAUCAACUCAUGGUGUUAUACACACGGGAUUAAUCCAAACCAUUCCCUUCUAAAUUCACAAAUUUCAUGCAUUAAAAUAUUUACACCACGAAUUUUAAGAAUUAUACUUAUUGUGGUUCUAAAAUAGGGGGAUGUGAAUUUAAAAUGGAGGGUCAUUGAUUUAGACAUUCCCUCUUGCCAUUGAUCAUAACUAGUUUUUAUCAUCCUUUAUUUUUUUUUAAAGGAAGUUUUACACACUUCAUAAACUCCAUUGUUCGUCUAGGCUCUUCUCUUUAUUAUUUUUUUUUGAAAAAAAAAUGUUGUAGAGAUUUUUUGUGUGUGUAAUUUUCAUUACUCACCAAAGCACUUCCCCCAAAAUCAUCACACAAGCACCACCUGUUCCCUUUGUGACGUCCUAGGACAAUAGUUACUCGACUAUUUCAUGUGCUAAAAGCCUAAAAUGGCAUCCAACAAAGUUAAAAAAAUCGAGAUAUGAUGGUGAUUUUCAUGCAUCUAUCUCCUUAAGAAGUAAGCAAAUCGCACACUUGUUUCGCAUCCAUUGAGACUCCAGUAACUUUCAAGCUUAAAGAAUUAUCCACCCACGUAUAUUUUAAUUUUCUUAGGAUUAGAAACACAAUGCUUUGUGGCUUUCCUUGUGUCUAAAUCUAUAAGGCCUAGGCAACACGUGGCCAUUGAUUUUGCCAAUUUGAGUUCAUCCUUUAAGAAUAUUUAACAUCAACAAAUAUACUCCACUGAUUUUCUUGAAAUCCAAUCUUGUCACCAAAUAGAUUGGCAAGUUUUAGACCCCUUAACCACCCCUUGUCAAACAAAUUCCCAAUUAUCCUAAUCAAAUUUGAUCAACGAUUUAUAUUAAUCAGAGUGCUAUUGGCACUCGUUUUAUUUUUUUCCCUCUUUCUUUCACAAGAAAAUAAGGAAUAAGGGUGACAUCAGAGCGAAAAUAAAGACUUUACGGUCACCUGACUAAUCUUCUUGACCUAGGCUUUGGAACAGUGCUAUUGACACGUUACCAGAGCAUGUUUAAAGAUUAAACUUGGAAACAUCAUAAUGCUCAUCAAACAGGAGUGGAUGAGGGCAGUUUGGUAACUUUAGCGGAUAAAAUUGGCAUGACAGAGAUCAUCUUUGGCUUACUCACUCGAGGACGGAAGGAUAGUAGUGAUGAUUUGAAAAGGACAUGAUGACUGACUGAUGGGAUGAAUCAUAGUUCAAAGUGCAGAUAUAUAUAUAUAUAUAUAUGUAACGAACACUAGCACAUUGUGUCACAGAAUUUUGAGGACAAACUGAACACCUAAUACAGCUACUAAACAAGAGCCUUUUUAGCUUUUGCUUUUCAUGUCUUGGGAAGUGAUGGCAGCAGAACAAUUGGUUUGGGGUGUGAUGGAGGAAGGGUGGAGAAAGGGUCCUUGGACUGCUGAAGAAGACAGAUUACUCAUUGAAUAUGUCAAGUUGCAUGGUGAAGGCAGAUGGAACUCUGUCGCUAGACUUGCAGGUAACUAAUAUACUAAGCAACUUGCCUGCUUACUAAUUCUAUUAGUAUCGUGUACUACUACUUCACCGACUUUUCACCAACUAGAAUCUUGUAACCUGCUGUCUUUUUGGCAUUUUUAAUGCAUGUCAAAUCCCACUUGGGUAAAGCUAGAAUUCUUCAUUCUUGGCAUUUUAUUUUGCAUGCAUAUACAUGGGAGUGUUGCGAUUAGAAAGAGCACUGCUUAUGACCAGAUGAUGGUUGAUUUUGGUGUUCUGUUCAGGAUUGAAAAGAAAUGGGAAAAGCUGUAGAUUGAGGUGGGUGAAUUACUUGAGGCCAGAUCUCAAGAGGGGCCAAAUAACCCCUCAUGAAGAAAAAGUAAUUCUAGAGCUCCAUGCUAGGUGGGGAAACAGGUGAGGAUUUGGAUAUAACAAGCUUUUGAAAUGAAAUUUCAUAAGAAGAUUGUCUAGGAUAAGCAGCUGAUUUUGUGGGCUAUCCUUGACAAAUAUAGGUGGUCGACAAUUGCUAGAAGCCUGCCAGGAAGAACAGACAAUGAAAUCAAGAACUACUGGAGGACUCAUUUCAAGAAAAAGGCAAAAGUCUCGUCUGAUAACUCAGAAAAAUCAAAAGCACGCCUUCUGAGAAGGCAACAAUUUCAGCAGCAACAGCUGCUGCAGCAGCAACAGCAACAGCAACAGCAACAACAAACUCAAGUAUUUGACAUGAGGAGGCUUAUGUCGUUACUGGAUGAAAAUGAGAACAGAGUGCCAACUCUGCCUCAGAUGAAACAAGAUGCAUCAGCAGCAGCAACUACUAUCUUUCCCAAUACAAUUGAUGAUCAUCAUCAAGUCUUCCUCUACUCAGUGUUCAACAAUUCCGCAGCUCUGCCAGAAGCAACAAAUCAUGAUCAGGACAUUAACUGGGAUGGUUUAUGGAACAUGGAUGAAUUCAGUGGCAACAUAUAUUACUCGAAUUCGGCAAACAGAGCUACCCUGCGUACAUCUGCAGCCACCCCUUAUUACUGAUACACCCAGCCUUAAAAUUUUCCUGCCUUGUAUUUCCCAGUGCUUUGUUCCUAGUUUGUCAUUAUGAACCAAAGAAGGUUCUCAGGUAAGGAGAUCAUAAGAGUUUCUUGGUUUUAUGGAAACUUUUACGUUUUCAUUGAUGCAGUCUAGUAUGGCAUUUGGUGAUAUGUCCACGAGCUGGAACUUCGAGCUGCUCAAUCAGCUGUAUCUCAUGAGUCAUGACUGUAAAAUUAGUCUCGCUAUUGAAGAAAUUUUGCAUAAGUUUCAAUUAAGUGAUUGUCUAAGAGCCAAAGCUAAGACUGCAACCUAUGUAUGCAAUUGAAGUACAAUUGCUUCUUUUAACUCUUGUUUCUUUAAAAAUUGGCAAAAAAAAAAAAAAAAUCGAAACAGCCACUAAAUUAUUCAAAUCAAUAUAAUUUGAACCACCGAAUUAUUUUGUGUUCCAAAGCACUCGCAACUUUGAAAACUAAUACAUCAGUGGUAAUUCUGUCAAAAAAAUGAUGAGAUGAUGCUACCAUGACUUCAGAAUACACAGUACUGGGCACUCAAAAAUGGGCAUAAGAUAUGAGGAUUGAUCCACGUCGCAUGGCAAUGAUGUUACAAAAAUAUGGAUCCACAAAUUUGUUUGUACACGAAAAGUUAGAACACAAAUUUCCUUCCUGUUACUUGUUCUCUUCAUGAAAAAAAAAAUCUUGAUUUUGCACAGGCUACAUUCUUUUUUAGGAAAUUUUUGCACAACCUAUAAUCCUUAGAACAGCAGGUCAACAAACUUCUCAUAAGCGCCUUGGCAAGCAACAAAACACCAAUCAAACUUUCUUGGUUCUAUUUUUUCUUCAAGUCCAAGGCUGAAUAAGGUAAACAUCUGGAAGUCUCGUCCUUUUAAAUUAGUCAUGACGUCCACUCUGGUGCAAAUACUGGAGCAGUUAUCUCCCAACUAAUAUUUCAAUUCAAAGCAAAAGGAUAUUCGUUACUCCAACAAAUUAAUAGACUUAAUUAGGCUUGGCUUGUACUCCAGACUGUAGCAAUUGCUUUUCUACAACCAAAGGCAGGGAAGUACGAACAUUUACAAAUUAACUAGACUUUCGAAUCUGGUAGAAAAGGAGGAAGAGCAUGUACUUUAGCUAAUUAUCUGUUCGCAACGGAGCUUGUGUCUCAUUUCCUGUACCACUUUCUGUUCCACUUUUUAUAAUAUUGCUGUUUCUCCAUCAUAAACAUCAUAUUUUAGUUCUUUUUAAUUUUUUUAAAAUUCAAUAACUAUUAAUUGAGUUAGAAAUAAAUACAACAAUAUCAAAGAAGUAAUAUAUAAUAGAAAAUUAAAAAAUACGACAGAAAUUCAUAAAAAAAUAUUUUUUAUGCAUUUUGAUUUUUUGAGUUUGUUAAAUUUUGUGUAUUACUCAAUUAUUAGUUAUUGAAUCCUAAGUAAACAAAAAAAAACUAAAAUAUGAUGUUCAUGAACGAGAAAUAGUAAUAUAAUAAAAAAUAGAAUAGAAACUAGCAUAGAAAGUAGGACAGAAGAUCCGUUGUACUAUCUGUAUAACAUUGUUUGACUGUAGGCAACAAGCUACCUUGUGUAGCUUCAGGAGUACAGCAGGAGGACCUGAGUAUGCAAUAUCAAUCCGGUGUCACGUACUCCAAUACAAAGUUGGCGCCCCCUCACAAGGAUGAAGUUUCAACAUUGAUGGUUGCAAAGAAUUCUUACCCUGCAAUUCCUGAAGUCUGAUUGGAAGCUCUUUAAGGUUGUUACAUCCUUCGACCUGCAAGGUACAAAGAUUGGGCAUUGAUCCUUCUUCUUCAAUCAAGAACUCCAACUUUGGCAAAUUUGAGAGUGUAAGAUGUUUGAGUUGACCAAAUGCCCCUGAUGCAAAAGUCAACCGUUUUCCCAAAAAAGCUCCGUCUUCUAGAACAAGGUCCCAUAAAUUUGGAAACCUCCCCAGAGUUGCCAUAGGAUCAUUGACAAGUGCAGAGCGGCUUAGAACUAUGCGAGUGAGACUGUAACAAAUUAUAUGUGGUAGUAUGCUCAUGCAUCCCUUGAUCUGCAACGUAUGAAGGGAGGGACACUCAAGUAGUUGGCUCAUUGACAAAUUUCUCUCUUCUGCAGUAAAUGCGUCGAAACGUCUUACAUGAAUAGAGGUUUGGCAUAAGCAAUUCUGGUUCAUAUUUAUGCGUUUGAUGAUGCCCUGUAGGGACUUAGCAUUCCCUUUAACAGAUGCUGUUAGGUUCCGAAGACUCGUCAAGAAGAGAAGAUCGGUUGUACUGCAUGCACUGGUAUCAAAGUUUUCAAGCGUCUCCAAGUUCACCAAACUAUCCAAACGCAACUUAUCAUCCUCUCGAGCAUUAAAUUUCGAAGGCAAAUAAAGAUGCCGCAACCUUUUUAACUUCCAGAUGAUGUUUGGUAUGGUAACCAUCCGAUCUAUUACUACUCGCAAAUCAAGUGUUUGCAAGUUCAACAACUCACCAAGACUUAAUGGCAGGUUGUUUAGGCGACAGUCUCUGAAGCUUAGGUAUCGCAAAGAUGUCAAUUUCCCAACUUCUCCAACAAAUUUGCUCUCUCGUAGGUCAAAACCAUCAAAUCUUAAAACUCUAAGCAAGAGGAACAACUUCAAGUUUAUUGACUCCGAAAACUCUACAAACUCCAAACGUCGGGGUAAUUUUAAGAGAAGAAGAGACCUAAGAUAACCAAGAUGCAUGUAAGCAUUUUUCAGCAAGACGGCCAUUACAUCUUCACUCUGAUAACCCCCACCAACGUUCAUGGAAAGUCUACGUAUGUUGCCGAAUGGAGUGGGAGACUUGUUGAUUUCGUUUCUCUGACAUGAUCUUAUAACCUCAGAAAAUAUUUCUUGUUUGGCCUUGUGAAGACACAAGUCUAACAUCAUGCUAUGCAGACGACAAGAUUUGAACCGUCUGAUAUUCGGAACCUCAGCUUCAUUAACCUCAACAAAACCUCUGGUUGCUAAUUCAUCCAGAUACUGCUCCGCUGCAUCCAUCAUUGUUAUUGCAGAUUCUUCGUUGUUCGGUUGUACAAAGCCUUCAGCCAUCCACAGCUGGUAUAGUGUUUCCACCUCUAUGCUUGGUUGCUCAGAGAAGAGGCCCAAAUAAAGGAAACAAAGCUUUAAAUGGUGUGGCAUGUCAUCAUAACAUAAAGAUAAAAUUUUCAGUUUUAACAGUUGCAAACUAUCUUCUUGAUGGACGUUAGACAACUCCAUAGCGCGAAGAGCUGCCUUCCACUCACCUGAUGUCUGCUUUGUUGCCAACAAGCUUCCAAGCACAUUAAUGGCCAACGGUAUGCCUUUGCAUCUUUUCACAAUAAAUUCUAGCAUCCCGUGCAACUGCGGAUCUGUUAGCAAAGGGGGAGAAGUUAAUUCAAACAGACAUAAUCCUCCAAAUCAGACAACGAAAAAUUUAGCUAUUGCUGCAAAUAAAUAACACCAUGAAAGGAAAUACAAGAAAGAACAUGAGAAUAACUAAUAAAAAUUCAGAAGAAACAAAACAAUAUGCAUUGAGAAACGGCCACAAAAUCCCCAACCAUAAAAAUAUAGCAACAAAAUCUUAACUGAAUUUGGGAAAGCAUCAAAUGAAAAAUCCGGACUGUGUUAUUAAAGACUUGAAUCUUUUCCACAACUAAAAGUAUGAUAGCCCAUUUUUGUUGCACAUCAAAAUGCAAACACAUCCAGAUAAAUAAUGUCAAAAAUUUAAACUUCAUAGCAUCUAAAAAAUCGAUUGCACGUCUCCGUAACAUAAAAAUGACGGCAAGAAUUUAUGAAAAUAAUGAUAACGGACACAACUGACUGACCUUCAGGGAUAUUCACUCAUACUCUGCGAACAAGGAGCUCCAAACUUUCCUCUUUAGUCAGGUGCCUUAACUUGAAAAGUUCAAUCGAUGGAUUGGAUGUUGCUAAUUCCUGAAACCGAGUGGUGGCUACUAAUUUACUAGCUGUUUCCCUAAUUCCUCAAAAACUACUUAGCCAGUCUAGGUAAUCCAGUAACCACAAAUCAUCAAUAACCACUAAGCAUUUUGCAAAAGCCAGUAGGUUGCGAAUGUUGACGGUGAUGCCCAUAAUAGAAGAGUUUCUCAACAUCUCGUUGGCGGCCGGUACAAGUUUACAGGUGCCGAACCUGUGCAAUAAUAAAUACUAAAAAGUCCUAAUUACCACCACAGUUAAUUAUAGAACAAAUCCAAGUACUGGAGCAGGGACCCUAGGUGUGCAAUGGGUUACUUGAUUCACCCUGUUCCCGAAGAAUUUGCUUGAUCCGAUAUACCAGAUUUGUCUAUAAAAAUAUUAAUUUUGCAUACAAUGGCAAGUAGGGUCGAUUCCACAGGGAGCGGGUAGGAAAUUAUUUCUUUCCAAAUCAAUAGAAUGAAAUUGGGGGAUUUUCAAUGGGAGGCAAAUAAAGAAAAUAAGAAUAAACAUAAAGCAAACUAAAUUCAAAACUAACUUACAAAGCACAAUUUACUAAAGAUAGCAAUUAAUAAAAUUCUACCCAAAGGAUCAACUGCUCAGGCACGGUCCAGCUAAAUGAUCAUCGAUGCAAAGAUAUUUCGUCCAUUCAUCACUAGGUUGGUUAUAGCUAUCAACAAGCUCUGACAACUAGUUCUUCCUUACUCUUUCGACAGUCAAGGUACGACCAUUGACUGCUUCUCUAACCAGAUAACAACCCUAGGUACGACCGUAGGAAUUUAAUUACCCAAUUGCAUUAAAACUAGAAGAACCCAACCCUAACCAAUAAACACGCUAAGAGGGUUUAUUUAAAUUAGAUCUUGCGUUUCCCCAUCAUAAAACCAAUUAUGGUGGUUGCCACGAGAUGUUAACUAAAUGAACAAUUACGGAUUCUAUUUAAUUAACGUGGCAGUAGGCUAUUAAAUUAAAUCAAAUACCCGGCCGUUGAUAUUCAAUUAAUAAAAUACCCAUGAACAAUUAAUUCAGGAAACGCACGAAUAGCAAUAAACUGGAAGAAUUAAUGAAGAUUCGAUUAGAUCUCACAGAUAUUAUGGACCGCGCCCUCGCGUCAACCUUUGGGUAGAGAAGAAAAUUAGCCGCUCCUCAUCGUGCCAAUCCCGCGUGAUUUAAUUGAAAUCAUUCAAUUAUUCGACGAAGAAUUGGGAAAGGGAAAUUAAUUGCAGUAACAACAGAGAAGGCCCUGCCUUCGUCUUUGCUUUGGAGCUGCAAGUGUACGAACAAAAGCUAACGUAAAUUGUGCAGAGUCAAAACAAAAACCAAGGAGUCAAAGUGUCACAACCGAAAAGCUACAAAAGUCUGCAAUCGUCUGACCCCUCUCGAAAAGAAAAUCAAAGCUAAUCUAUCCUCCCCCUGCGUCCCCUUUUUUGUUGUCUUAUAUAGCGCCGCAGGGGAAAUCCACGCGGAGCAGAGCUCUUCUCUUCAUUGGAGUUUUUAUCCCGUGUAGCUGGUCCAUGUGGACCUAGUUUCCUCAUUCUCAUUCCUCCGACAUCUGGCCCUUUCUUUUCUUUUUUUAAUUGAAGCCUCUAAGAGCCAAGUCACGUCUGACCCAAUUGACUGAAACAAAAGCUAGCCUUUUGGAGUUUUAAUCCCGUGCUCCUCGCGGUUCACGUGGACCGGGGUCCGGCAUUUCGGUAGCGUCCGCCUUGUCUGGCGUGACCACGCCCUGAAAUGAAAGGUCUUCUGGAAAUUUACCUCAAGAUACCAUUUUUAAUGCUAACCACUUACAAUUCACACAAAUAUCAAAUAUGAGUGAAAUUCCCUUUCUUAGCACCGUGAAUAGCCAAAAUUAGGACAAGAUGACAAUGUAAAAUGUGCCAAAUAACUGCUCUAUCACAAGUUGCUUAAGAAUAGAACCUAAAGCUCCCCACAAUUGGUCAAAGUCACGCUGUGCCGAAGUGCCCAAUGAAACCCAGGCAAAAGCUUCAAAAUGGCGAUACAAUGACUCAUGGUUAUAUAAUCUUCUCACAAGGGUUGUCUUCCCCAAACCACGAAUGCCCAUCACGGAAAUUACGUUGGGGGAAAAAGAAUCCGAUUUCGAUUCAAGAAUCCGAUUCAAAAGGAAGUCCAACUCAUUGACUAAUCCAACAACAACUGAAUCCUUCUUCUGGCGUGAACCACAAGGUAGGGGAGGCCUGUUGUUUUGCUGGCCCUGUGACAAAAGCUCCCCGACUCCCAGCAGGUGUCUGAUCCUUUUUCUGAGCAGGGAAAUUUGCCACAGAAAAUCAUCAUCUAUGUCAGAGAAAAACCACCUUUUGAUGGCUCCGAGAGAAAGAAAGUCAGCAUUCUUGCUUUGGUUUUCGAACACUAAAUCUUCCGUAUCAUAACAGGUUUUCUCUACUUCUGUCAACCAAUCAUGAAUUCGUUGUUCCUUGUCAAUUUCUUCCACUAAUUUCUGGAGCAAAAAUAGUUCUAAAACAAGCCCGUUUAUUUCAUCGCUUGCUGCUGUCCUCGAGUAUUUUUCUCCUUUCUCGUGCAGUAAAUUAACGACGUCUUUGACUAAUACAGAGGCCGACGGGAUGCUCAUCCUUCAGUUGAGUUCAAUCAGUUGAUCUCCUCAUCCCAGCCACCAAGUGACCUUUUAUUCUAAGACCCUUUUAGCUUUUCCAAAUUAUCUUAGGGUUGUUCUCUUGAUGGGGCCAGUUAUUUGUUCAAGGAGAAUGAGACCAACAAAUGAUGGGCCUGUUUGGAAGGUGAGUUUUUUGGGUGUUUGUAUAAAAUUUUACUGUAGAUCACUGUAGAAAUUGUAGAAAAACUUUUGUAAGAUGAAAAAACUUUUUUUUCUUUUUCUUUUUCUUUCUUUCUUUCUUUCUUUUUUCUUUUCCUUCCUCCCUUCCCCCUUUUUCUCCCUUCCCCUACCCCCUCCCCUGUUCCCUCUCCCGAAACUACCUCUGUAAACACAUAAAACUUUUUUUUUUUGCUUUUCUUCUCUCCCCCCUCCCUCUCCCUCCCCCGCCACCCCUUCCUCCCCUUUCCCCACCAUCCCUUUCCUCUCCCCUCUGCCCGCCACCCUCCUUGGGCCGCCAUCCCUUUCCUCCCCUCUCCCCCACCACCCCUCUCUACCCCUUCCUCCUCUGUCCCGCCAUCCCCUCUGCCCCUUCCCGCUCCCCUGUUCCUCUUCCCGCUUCUCAGCAUUUCUAAUUUUUUUCUUUUUUUUCACAUUUUCCCUCUCCCUCUCCUCCCCAUUCCUCUCCUUACUCUUGCCGGCAGAUAAAGCAGUGAAAUAAUUUUUUUUGGGCAAUUUUUCUUUUCCCCCUCUCUUCCCCUUCCCCCGCCACCCUCACUUUCCCCUGGUGCAAUCUGGUCUCGCGAUCAGAUUGGCCAGAGGGGAAAGGGAAGGGUUGUGAGGGAGGAGUGGGGGAGACGCAGAGAGAAAAAAAAAGACAGAAGAGAGGAUGGCAGGGGAGGAAGAGGAGGAGAGGGAAAAAGGAAAAAAAAAAAAGAAGACCGGUACCGGAAGAGGUGAUCGGCACCGGAACCGGCGCCGGAGGUGGUGGCCGGCAACGAAGGUGGUGGUGGGGGAGGAAGAAGAAGAAAAGGGGAAGGGAAUUUUUUUUUUUUUUUGUAUUUUGGAUAUUUUAAGUGUGUAGGUUAAAAACUUUGAUAAAUUUUUGGGGUUCCUGUAGCAAAAGUUGUUAAAAACUAGUAUAAUACAAACUUGCUAAAAAACUAGACUUCCAAAUAGGCCCGAUAUUCUAGGGUUGUUUGCCGCUUAAGGGCAAUUAUAUCAUAAAAUAUUUAAAAGCAUUGUUGGAGCACCAAAGACUAAUUUUAGACUGCGAGUGUCACUUUCCUUCCAAUUGGUAACUUCUAUGGCCACGGUUUCUAUAACAAAAGUAGGAGAAGGAUGCACACACUGGGUGCAAUUUUAGAAAUUGAUAAAAAAAAAAGAGGAAUUAAGGGUGUGUUUGUUUGGAUGUAAAAUGUUUUCCUGAAAAUGUUUUCCAAAUUUUCCCGUGUUUGGUAAUCAUUUUAUCUUGGAAAAAGAUUUACACAGGGAAUAUAUUUUACUUCACUUGGUGGAAAAUAACUUCCCCUUUUGACUUACUGAAGUUAUUUUCCUUCAUUAAAAUGAGCGGCUCUUGCACUUUACAAUAAAGCUCCCUACUC
rnacentral:lncRNA from 1 species